rnacentral:lncRNA from 1 species
UUCUUUUUUUCUGUUUCUACUGUUUUUUUUACUUUUGUUUCUUUUUUCUUCAUUCUUAUUCUGUUUUCUCCUUUUUUUUCUUUUCCCCCUUCUUUGUUUUUUGUUUGCUUUUCUUAUUUCUUCUUUGUUUUUUGUUUUUUUGUUUUUCUUUUGUUUCGUUCAUUGUUUUUAUCNNNNNNNNNNNNNNNNNNNNNNNNNNNNNNNNNNNNNNNNNNNNNNNNNNNNNNNNNNNNNNNNNNNNNNNNNNNNNNNNNNNNNNNNNNNNNNNNNNNNNNNNNNNNNNNNNNNNNNNNNNNNNNNNNNNNNNNNNNNNNNNNNNNNNNNNNNNNNNNNNNNNNNNNNNNNNNNNNNNNNNNNNNNNNNNNNNNNNNNNNNNNNNNNNNNNNNNNNNNNNNNNNNNNNNNNNNNNNNNNNNNNNNNNNNNNNNNNNNNNNNNNNNNNNNNNNNNNNNNNNNNNNNNNNNNNNNNNNNNNNNNNNNNNNNNNNNNNNNNNNNNNNNNNNNNNNNNNNNNNNNNNNNNNNNNNNNNNNNNNNNNNNNNNNNNNNNNNNNNNNNNNNNNNNNNNNNNNNNNNNNNNNNNNNNNNNNNNNNNNNNNNNNNNNNNNNNNNNNNNNNNNNNNNNNNNNNNNNNNNNNNNCUUUUCAUUCUUUUUUUAUUGUUUUUCUGCUUUUUUUCUUCAGUUUAAUUUUCCUUUUUUCUUUGGUUUCUUUUAUUUCUUUCUUAGGUUUUCUUUGUUUCUUUUGGUUUUCAUAUUAAAUAUUUUCUAUAUGUCAACAAUAUUUUUUAGUAAAUUUGUAAUUUUUUUACUACAUGGUCAAUAUUUUUUCUAUAUAGAUUUCUAACAUUUCUCAAAUGCUUCCUUAACAUUUUUCAAAUACAAUAUUAACAUUUUUUGAAUACAUGGUCAAUAUUUUUCGGACAGACUGUUAAACUUUUUCGAAUGGUUGAUUGACAUUUUCCAAAUACAAGAUUGACAUUUUCUUUUACAUAAUGAAUUUUUUUUGUAUGCACAUUUAACAUUUUUUCAAAUGGUUGGUUGACAUUUUCUAAAUGAUAUAUUAACAUGUUUUGAAUACAUGGUCAACAUUUUUUCUAUACACAUUUAACACUUUUCAAAUGCUCGACAAAUACUUGGUCAACAUUUCUUCAAAUGCUUGAUUAACAUUUUUAUAUACAUGAUCAUAAAAAUUCAUCAUUUUUUAAUACAUGGUCAACAUUGUUUUCUAUAGACAUUUAACAUUGUUCAGAUGCUUGAUCGACAUUUUUCAAAUGCUUGAUUAACAAUCUUAUAUACAUGAAAAAUUUCAUCAUUUUUUUAAUGCACGGUCAUCAUUUUUUGCAAUACAAAUUUAGCAUUUUUCAAAUGCUUAAUCGACAUUUUUCAAAUACUUGUUCAACUUUUUUCAAAUGCUGGAUUAACAUUUUUCAAAUACAUGAUCAAAUUUUUUGUACACACUUUUUAAUACUUUUUUUGUAUAUGUGAUAAUCAUUUUCUCUAUACACAUUUAACAUUGGGAGAUGGAUAACGGGAGUUGACCAUGGUCGUUCUAAAAGAAUAGCUAUGUACGUGGUCCACCUUGUAAAAAACUACUCCAUGUAAUCUUAAAUUAGUGGCGCAGUUUUAAACUAAGCUUAGUUGAAAACUAAUUCAAAAUUGCAACAUUUUGGGUCGGAGGGAGUAUGUACAAGGUCCUUACAAAGGCAGUGUGUCGCGCAAAAAAAUACAAAGGCAGUACGUGAGUAUUGUAAAAGAAACGGCAACGCGUAACAUCAAAGGAUUUUUGUUUCCAUUUCAAACAAAUUAAUGUAUUUGGGAUUAAAAAAUGGAAUUUUCUUAAGAAUGUUCAGAAUUUUAAAACUUUUAUGGAUUUAAAAAAUGAAGGAAUUUAAAAAAAAUCAGGAAUUUAAACAAUUUUACAAGAAUACAAAAAAUUAUCACGUACUCCCUCCGUUCCUAAAUAUUUGUCUUUUAGAGAUUUCAAAUGGACUACCACAUUCGGAUGUAUAUAGACAUGUUUUAGAGUGUAGAUUCACUCAUUUUGCUCCGUAUGUAGUCACUUGUUAAAAUCUCUAGAAAGACAAAUAUUUAGGAACGGAGGGAGUAUUUGAGAAAUGGUCAUGAAUUUAACUAUUGUUAACAAAUAUUAGAAUUUUUUUCAUGAAUUUCAAAAAAAUUGUGCAAAAAUUCAUAAAAAGUUCAAAAAUAUGCAUGGAUUUAAAAAUGUUUAUGAAUUUCAAAAAAGUUCAUGAAAUAAGAAAAUGUUCGUAGCAUUUGGAACAUGUGAUCUCUAGGGGUGAAGGAUGAUAUUAGCUUUGAUUAUCCCAAGUAGUGGCCUUGGAUGGGUUAUGGUCACUAGUAGAAAACAGGGCUUUGGUUGGGGCCUGGCCAGCCCAUUAGUCCCGGUUCAGCCACGAACCGGGACCCAUGGGCACAUACGUCCCGGUUCGUGAGUCCAGGGGGCUGGCCGAGGCCUCGUGGGCAUUCGUCCCGGUUCGUCUGGACCAAAUUGUCCCGGUUCCUGGCACGAGUCGGGACCAAUAGGCCUCGCUCCUGGCCCACAGCCAUUGGUCCCGGUUCGUGGCUCGAACCGGGACAGAAGGGGGGGCUUUAGUCCCAGUUCAAGGCACGAACCGGGACCAAUGAGGUGCCUAUAUAUACCCCAUCGCCACAGCAGAGCACUCCACAGUGCUCUGUUUUUUGCUGGCCGGCGACGGGAGGGCAUUUGGGUGCUCUAGCUCACCUCCUAUGCACAUGAGGUGUUCGAUGAAAUGCCCGAGCCACACUAGUUAAGCUUUCUCCUCUCGAAGCUUGACCUCCGAGCUCCAUUUUCCCCGAGAUUUGCAUAGGUUUAGCGGCCCGUCAUGUCCUGUCCCCGUCUUCACCGCCGUCGAUCGCCCGCGCCGAUCUCGUUGCCGGCACCACCGUGGUGAGCCUCUUGUUCUUAUCUUCUUUCUGAAAGAAAAGAAUUCUUACUUUAGAUAGAUACUUGUCUAAUUAUAUGUAAUGCACGCAGAUGAACCGACAAUGGAUGUAUGGUGACAGACACACCUUCGAGUAUGUUAAGGGCGUGCCUAAUUUUCUCGAAGUGGCUGAGGCAAACAAGCAGAAUAGUUUUAUGUGUUGUCCAUGCCCUAGUUGUGGGAAUACGAAGUCUUCCUCUGACAGGAAAAUCCUUCACACCCACCUUCUUUAUAAGGGUUUCAUGCCACACUAUAAUGUUUUGACGAGGCACGGAGAAAUAGGGGUUAUGAUGGAAGACAACGAAGAAGAAGAGGACGAUGACAACUAUGUGCCCCCCUGAAUACGGUGAUGCUGCAACGGGGGAAGCUGCUGAAGAUCAAGAUCAGGAACUAGAUGAUGUGCCCGAUAUCGAUGAUGAUGAUCUCCGUCGGGUCAUUGUUGAUGCAAGGACACAGUGCGAAAGUCAAAAGGAGAAGCUGAAGUUCGAUCGCAUGUUAGAGGAUCACAAAAAAGGGUUGUACCCCAAUUGCGAAGAUGGCAACACAAAGCUCGGUACCGUACUAGAAUUGCUGCAGUGGAAGGCAGAGAAUCAUGUGCCUGACAAAGGAUUUGAGAAGCUACUAAAAAUAUUGAAGAAGAAGCUUCCAAAGGAUAACGAAUUACCCGACAGUACGUACGCAGCAAAGAAGGUCGUAUGCCCUCUAGGAUUGGAGGUGAAGAAGAUACAUGCAUGCCCUAAUGACUGCAUCCCCUACCGCGGUGCGUACGAGGAUUUAAACGCAUGCUCGGUAUGCGGUGCAUUGCGGUAUAAGAUCAGACAAGAUGACCCUGGUGAUGUUGACGGCGAGCCCCGCAGGAAGAGGGUUCCUGCGAAGGUGAUGUGGUAUGCUCCUAUAAUACCACGGUUGAAACGACUGUUCAGAAACAAAGAGCAGCAAGGUUGAUGCGAUGGCACAGUGAGGACCGUAAGAAAGACGAGAAGUUGAGAGCACCCGCUGACGGGUCGCAGUGGAGAAAAAUCGAGAGACAGUACUGGGUUGAGUUUGCAGGUGACCCAAGGAACGUAAUGGUUUGGUUUAAGCGCGGAUGGCAUUAAUCCUUUCGGGGAGCAGAGCAGCAAUCACAACACCUGGCCCGUGACUCUAUGUAUGUAUAACCUUCCUCCUUGGAUGUGCAUGAAGCGGAAGUUCAUUAUGAUGCCAGUUCUCAUCCAAGGCCCUAAGCAACUCGGCAACGACAUUGAUGUGUACCUAAGGCCAUUAGUUGAAGAACUUUUACAACUGUGGAAUGGAAACAGUGUACGUGUGUGGGAUGAGCACAAACAGGAGGAAUAUAACCCGCACGCAUUGCUGUUUGUAACCAUCAACGAUUGGCCCACUCUCAGUAACCUUUCAGGAUAGACAAACAAGGGAUACCAUGCAUGCACGCACUGUUUAGCUGACACCGAAAUUAUAUACCUGGAGAAAUGCAGGAAGAAUGUGUACCUGGGCCAUCGUUGAUUUCUUCCGACCAACCAUCAAUGUCGAAAGAAAGGCAAGCAUUUCAAAGGCGAGGCAGAUCACCGGAAGAAGCCCGCCAUGCGUACCGGUGAUCACGUACUUGCUAUGGUCAAUGAUUUACAUGUAAUCUUUGGAAAGGGUCCCGGCGGAGUAGCUGUUCCGAAUGACGCUGAGGGACGCGCACCCAUGUGGAAGAAGAAAUCUAUAUUUUGGGACCUACACUACUGGAAAGACCUAGAGGUCCGCUCUUCAAUCGACGUGAUGCACGUGACGAAGAACCUUUGCGUGAACCUGCUAGGCUUCUUGGGCGUGUAUGGGAAGACAAAAGAUAAAGCUGAUGCACGGGAGGACCUGCAACGUUUGCACGAAAAAGACGACAUGCCUCCAAAGCAGUAUGAAGGUCCGGCCAGCUACGCUCUUACCAAAGAAGAGAAGGAAAUCUUCUUUGAAUGCCUGCUCAGUAUGAAGGUCCCGACUAGCUUCUUGUCGAAUAUAAAGGGAAUAAUAAAUAUGCCAGAGAAAAAGUUCCAGAACCUAAGUCUCAUGACUGCCACGUGAUUAUGACGCAACUGCUUCCGGUUGCAUUGAGGGGGCUUCUACCGGAAAACGUCCGAUUAGCCAUUGUGAAGCUAUGUGCAUUCCUCAAUGCAAUCUCUCAGAAGGUGAUCGAUCCAGAAAUCAUACCAAGGCUAAGGAGUGAUGUGGCACAAUGUCUUGUCAAUUUCGAGCUGGUGUUCCCACCAUCCUUCUUCAAUAUCAUGACGCACGUCCUAGUUCAUCUAGUCGACGAGAUUGUCAUUCUGGGCCCCGUAUUUCUACACAAUAUGUACCCCUUUGAGAGGUUCAUGGGAAUUCUAAAGAAAUAUGUCCGUAACCGCGCAAGGCCAGAAGGAAGCAUCUCCAUCGGCCAUCAAACAGAGGAUGUCAUUGGGUUUUGUGUUGACUUCAUUCCUGGCCUUAAGAAGAUAGGUCUCCCUAAAUCGCGGUAUGAGGGGAGAUUGACUGGAAAAGGCCCGCUUGGAGGGGACUCAAUAAUAUGCAGGGACGGGCAUUCUUGGUCUCAAGCACACUACACAGUUCUACAGAACUCUACCUUGGUGACCUCGUAUGUCGAUGAAUACAAGAACAGUCUGUGCUCCAAACACCCGGAGCAGUGCGACAACUGGAUUACAUGUGAACACAUCAGGACUUUCAGCAGUUGGUUGGAAACACGUCUCAGAGGUGACAACACUGUUUGUGAUGAGCUGUACUCGUUGUCCAGGGGACCAUCUUCGACUGUAUUGACUUACAAAGGAUACGAGAUAAAUGGGAAUACAUUUUACACGAUCGCCCAAGAUCAAAAGAGCACCAACCAAAACAGCGGUGUCCGCUUUGAUGCAGCAACCAAGAGGGGAAAGGACAUAUAUUAUGGUUACAUAGUGGACAUAUGGGAACUUGACUACGGACAUGAUUUUAAGGUCCCUUUGUUUAAGUGCAAAUGGGUCAAUCUGUCAGGAGGCGGGGUACAGGUAGACCCACAGUACGGAAUGACAACAGUGGAUCUGAACAAUCUUGGGUACACUGACGAACCAUUCAUCCUAGUCAAUGAUGUGGCACAGGUUAUCUAUGUGAAGGACAUGUCUACCGAACCGAGAAAAAGAAAAGAUAAGGAAGCGAAUACAUCAUACGAUGAGCCAAAGCGCCACAUAGUUCUUUCAGGAAAAAGGGACAUCUUGGGAGUGGAGGGCAAGAUAGACAUGUCUGAAGAUUAUGAAAAGUUUCAUGAAAUUCCUCCCUUUAAAGUCAAGGCUGACCCAAGCAUCCUGAUAAACGAUGAAGAUUAUCCAUGGUUACGGCGUAAUAAGAAAAGGACACAAGGGAAGAAAAAGUGAAGACUUUCUCUCCACAACUAUUAUGAUGAUACCAUGCCAACUUUCAACCUUUUCGUAGUUCAUUUGAAAUGCCUAUUGUAACAGACGAGUUUCUGUAUGAAACCCUGAUAUCUCGAAACAGAUUGUCCGUUUUGUACACGAAGUGCAUCCAGUUUUUGCCGUAACCCUCUCAAAUUGUUUGCACAUGCUAUGUGGGUGAAAUGAUGAUACCAUGCCAACUUUCAACCUUUUCAGAGUUCAUUUGAAAUGCUUUUCAAUUUGAGGGUCUUAUAGCUAAAAAAAAUCAGUAAAUGCAUGAAAAAUAACAAAUAAAGUCAGAGAGGGAUGAAAAUUGAUGAUGUGGCUUUGAAUGGUGCAUUUUGAACACGAAAAAAGUCUGGAGUUCAACUAAGUUCAAAAAAACGAAAUCCCUUUGUAACAGACGAGUUUCCAUAUGAAACCCUGAUAUCUCGAAACAGAUUGUCCGUUUUGUACACGAAGUGCAUCCAGUUUUUGCCAUAACCCUCUCAACGUUUUUGCACAUGCUAUGUGGGUGAAAUGAUGAUACCAUGCCAACUUUCAACCUUUUCAGAGUUCAUUUGAAAUGCUGUUCAAUUUCAGGGUCUUAUAGCUCAAAAAAAAUCAGUAAAUGCAUGAAAAAUAACAAAUGAAGUUAGAAAGGGAUGAAAAUUGAUGAUGUAAGUAGAAACCAAAUAAAAUAAAAUAUAUAAGUAGAAACAAAAUAAACUUUAAUAACAUAAAUAAAAUUUAUGGACCUAAAAUUACCAAAGUAUUUUAUGUUCAAAACAUUAUAAGCAAAAAGAAUUUUCCUGAAAUAAAUAAAAUAGCAACAGUAAGUAUUUUGUUGUAAACAGAAACAAAAUAAAAUAAAUAAAGCAAAAAAGAAAAGAAAAAUUUGAAAAAAAUAAAAUAAAAAAUGCCACCUACUGGGCCAUCACGGCCUGAAUACGACUAGAAAUGCAUCAAUGGGCCAGGAUUCAGGCCCGCAGAAGGCCCGACAGGCCCACAGGCAUAGCAGUGCAAGAUUAGGCCCAUAGGCCUGCAGUUCAGAGGAGUUCAAUGGAGAUGGCGGGGCAGGGCUUAUAAACAGGCCCGGCCGCUCCUCGGCUAGCGAGGAGGGACUAAACAUCCCACCGCGGCUUUGGCAGGCGCAGGACAUUGGUCCCGGUUGGUGCCACGAACCGGGACCAAUGCACACCUUUGGUACCGGUUCGGGGCACCAACCGGAACCAAUGACCCCCCCUUUAGUCCCGGUUGGUGCCACCAACCGGGACCAAAGGCCUCUGCUUCCCGCCCUUUGNNNNNNNNNNNNNNNNNNNNNNNNNNNNNNNNNNNNNNNNNNNNNNNNNNNNNNNNNNNNNNNNNNNNNNNNNNNNNNNNNNNNNNNNNNNNNNNNNNNNNNNNNNNNNNNNNNNNNNNNNNNNNNNNNNNNNNNNNNNNNNNNNNNNNNNNNNNNNNNNNNNNNNNNNNNNNNNNNNNNNNNNNNNNNNNNNNNNNNNNNNNNNNNNNNNNNNNNNNNNNNNNNNNNNNNNNNNNNNNNNNNNNNNNNNNNNNNNNNNNNNNNNNNNNNNNNNNNNNNNNNNNNNNNNNNNNNNNNNNNNNNNNNNNNNNNNNNNNNNNNNNNNNNNNNNNNNNNNNNNNNNNNNNNNNNNNNNNNNNNNNNNNNNNNNNNNNNNNNNNNNNNNNNNNNNNNNNNNNNNNNNNNNNNNNNNNNNNNNNNNNNNNNNNNNNNNNNNNNNNNNNNNNNNNNNNNNNNNNNNNNNNNNNNNNNNNNNNNNNNNNNNNNNNNNNNNNNNNNNNNNNNNNNNNNNNNNNNNNNNNNNNNNNNNNNNNNNNNNNNNNNNNNNNNNNNNNNNNNNNNNNNNNNNNNNNNNNNNNNNNNNNNNNNNNNNNNNNNNNNNNNNNNNNNNNNNNNNNNNNNNNNNNNNNNNNNNNNNNNNNNNNNNNNNNNNNNNNNNNNNNNNNNNNNNNNNNNNNNNNNNCCCAGUGAGCCCCUGCGCCCCUGCCCUGCCCCCCCGGCGCCGCCGCCGCCGUGGACGUGGCCGCCGUAUGCAUAUAUGUUUUUUUGCAUAUAUGUUGAUGUAUGGAUAUAUAUGUAUGCAUAUAUGUUUUUUCUGUUCAUAGAUUUUUUUUGUGAUAUUAUAUUGUUGAAUGUGCAAAUGUUUGUAUGUUCAUAUUUAGAAGAAAAAGCAGGAGAGGAAAAAGGGAAAUAAGAAGAGGAAGAAGAAGAAGAAGAAGAAGAAAUAGAAUAAUAUAUUCUAUUUCUUCUUCUUCUCCUCUUUUUUCUUCUUCUUUUUUUUCUUUGAUCUUCUCCUCUAUUCCUUUCUUCUUCUCCUCUUUUUUUCUUCUUCUUCCUCUUCUUAUUUUUUAUCGGGUAUGUCGUUGUCGAUAUACCCCCUCCCCGAUAACUUCGACAUGAGGGGGGGGGGUCGAUAAAUAAUAGAACUAGUUAAACUAGUUUAUUUUUAGUAAGUACUACUUUAUUUUAUUUAUAGUAAGUGCUUAGUAGUUGAACUAGUUGAUUUAAUAAAACUACUUUAUUUUACUAUAUAUAGAAGUAGUUUAUUUUUAGUAAGUACUACUUUAUUUUAUUUAUAGUAAGUGCUUAGUAGUUGAACUAGUUGAUUUAAUAAAACUAUUUUAUUUUACUAUAUAUAGAAGUAGCUUAUUUUUAGCAAGAAAAUUAAUAGAACUAGUUUAUUUUUUUAGUUCAAGCAAUUAUUCCCGCAUCGACGUCGACGAUGCCAAUCCCGCAUCCUCGUCGUCGACUCGGCGGAGGAGGCCGGCUUGAUCAGAGGGGCCAUGUCCGGGACUGGGCUCCGCCAGGGCUGGUAUUGGGAGGUGCUACCUUCCGGGGGGCGUAGGUUGGUGAGGAGCCAGCCCGUCAUUGACCCGAACCUUGUUUGGUGGCGGUCGCGUGGGCCAGUGACGGUGCCGAGGCUUCCGGACACCGCGGAGGUGGUACGUCACCGUGUCAGCGAGGAGGACGAGCACGUCCGUCGCUACAUGGUUGCGUUCGACAAUACCUGGCAGGUUCUUCAGGGAUCUCACUGGAGCUAUGAUCCUGUGAUGGUUCCUUCUCUUUGGGUGUCCACCGCCCGUGCCGAUACCCAUCGGGCGCUACGGUUCUAGCUGUAUUAGCGAUGCUAUAUGUAUGAUAGUAUUUGAGGUGUAUUAGUGAUAAUAUUCGACGAUGUACGGACGCAAGAGAUGAUGUAGUUUUUCUUAUAAUUGAAUGCAUGCUAAUUUGAAUACUACUUUAUUUUACGAUUUGGUUUUGCUUAUUGAAUGCUCAAAUUGGAAAAGUACUCCUACUUUGAAUGCUAAAAUUGAAGAGCACUAUGCAAGGCGUAUGCAUUUGAUUAGUUGAUAGCUUAUAGGGUUUUUGUUUUUGCAGAAAUCUGGGAGCCCCCUCCAUCAUCCCCGUCGUCGUCCUCGUCACCGACCCCCCUCCGACCUCGAGGUGAGACCAGCCAAAUCUUCAUGCAUGUCAAUAUGAGUCCUAUAAGAUAUUUUGAAAUGUUUUUGCUCAUACUUUGAACCAUUGAAAUGUAAUGGCCAUCAAGUUUGAAUGCUCAUAUGAUGUAGAUAAAAACAUGUAUAUUUCCGUUCCGGCAAAUUUCAGGCGCUCGAUAUGUCCUUUUUUAGAAAGAUAAUUAAACGAUACUUCGGGUUGACUUUAAGUCUGUGGAGUCUCCACCAUAUAUGAGAGGACGAAGAAUCUCGACUGUUGUCGUGGGGGUAGCUUCUCCUACGUUCCCGUGUGCUAGACAAUCUGGUGUAAUGCACUCGGGAACGAAAGGAGGAGCUACCAUCACCGACGGUCGCAAAUGUCAGAGAGGGAUCAGUGAGGGAGAGUCUCCACCAUAUAAAUAUGAGAGGAUGAAGAAUCCCGACUGUUGUCGUGGGGGUAGCUUCUCCUUCAUUCCCAAGUGCUAGACAACUUGGUGUAAUGCACUCGGGAAUGAAAGGAGGAGCUACCAUGCAUCACCGACGGUCGAAUACGUACACCACGUGAGCUGAGAGUUUUCAAGAAAAGACUCGACAGACCGAUAGUCAGCCCGUGAUGAAUAAUAAUGAUCUAAUUUAGGUUUUUUAGUACAUAUAUUUAAUUGUACAAGUUUAAUAUUUGAAUUAUGAACAUAGGAAAUGUCGUACUCGGACGACGAAAGUCUCCCGGGGGAGUGCGAUUGGUGCCACGACGACUGAGGUCUGUGCGACAGGCCUCACCUGGACGAAGAUCGGCGCUUCAGCAUUAAGCUGGAGGAGACCUUCGAUAUUGAAACGGUACGCAACGACGACAAGUGUUUUUUCGUAAUUAAGCACGACUUCAACUAUUUCAACGUGUAAUUUUCAUCUUUUACAAUUCGACUAGUGAUACGUCUCCAACGUAUCUAUAAGUUUUGAUUGUUCCAUGCUAUAUUAUAUUCUGUUUUGGAUGUUUAUUGAGCUUUGUUAUACACUUUUAUAUUAUUUUUGGGACUAACCUAUUAACCGGAGGCCCAGCCCAAAUUGCUGUUUUUUGCCUAUUUCAGUGUUUCGAAGGAAAAGGAUAUCAAACGGAGUCCAAACAGAAUGAAACCUUUGGGAACGUGAUUUUCGAAACAAAUGUGAUCUAGAGGACUUGGAGUCUACGUAAAGCAACCAACGAGGAGGGCACGAGGCAGGGGCGCGCCUACCCCCCAGAAGCGCCCUCCACCCUCGUGGGGCCCACGUUGCUCCACCAACGUACUUCUUCCUCCUAUAUAUACCCAUAUACCCUGGAAACAUCAUAUACGGAGCCAAAACCCUAUUUCCACCGCCGCAACUCUCUGUACCCGUGAGAUCCCAUCUUGGGGCCUUUUCCGGCGCUCCGCCGGAGGGGGCAUUGAUCACGGAGGGCUUCUACAUCAAUACCAUAGCCUCUCUGAUGAUGUGUGAGUAGUUUACCUCAGACCUUCGGGUCCAUAGUUAUUAGCUAGAUGGCUUCUUCUCUCUCUUUGGAUCUCAAUACAAAGUUCUCCUCGAUCUUCUUGGAUAUCUAUUCGAUGUAAUCUUCUUUUGCGGUGUGUUUGUCGAGAUCUGAUGAAUUGUGGGUUUAUGAUCAAGUUUAUCUAUGAACAAUAUUUGAAUCUCCUCUGAAUUCUUUUAUGUAUGAUUGGUUAUCUUUGCAAGUCUCUUCGAAUUAUCAGUUUGGUUUGGCCUACUAGAUUGAUCUUUCUUGCAAUGGGAGAAGUGCUUAGCUUUGGGUUCAAUCUUGCGGUGUCCUUUCCCAGUGACAGUAGGGGCAGUAAGGCACGUAUUGUAUUGUCGCCAUCGAGGAUAAAAAGAUGGGUUUUAUAUCAUAUUGCAUGAGUUUAUCCCUCUACAUCAUGUCAUCUUGCUUAAAGCAGUACUCUGUUCUUAUGAACUUAAUACUCUAGAUGCAUGUUGGAUAGGGGUCGAUGUGUGGAGUAAUAGUAGUAGAUGCAGAAUCGUUUCAGUCUACUUGUCGCGGACGUGAUGCCUAUAUACAUGAUCGUACCUAGAUAUUCUCAUAACUAUGCUCAAUUCUAUCAAUUGCUCGACAGUAAUUCGUUUACCCACCGUAAUACUUAUGCUCUUGAGAGAAGCCACUAGUGAAACCUAUGGCCCCCGGGUCUAUUUUCCAUCAUAUUAAUCUUCCAACACUUAGCUAUUUCUAUUGUCGUACAUUUUACUUUGCAUGUUUAUUUCUCUUUAUUAUAAAAAUACCAAAAAUAUUAUCUUAUCAUAUCUAUGAGAUCUCACUCUCGCAAGUGACCGUGAAGGGAUUGACAACCCCUUUAUUGCGUUGGUUGCGAGGUUCUUAUUUGUUUGUGUAGGUGCGUGGGACUUGCGCGUGGUCUCCUACUGGAUUGAUACCUUGGUUCACAAAAACUGAGGGAAAUACUUACGCUACUUUACUGCAUCACCCUUUCCUCUUCAAGGGAAAACCAACGCAGUGCUCAAGAGGUAGCAAGAAGGAUUUCUGGCGCCGUUGCCGGGGAGGCUUACGCGAAGUCAAGUCAAGAUUUGAUUGCCCGACAACGAGCCAUUUCUGGCGCCGUUGCCGGGGAGUCUACGCACAAGUCAAGACAUACCAAGAACCCAUCACAAACUCUUAUCCCUCGCAUUACAUUAUUUGCCAUUUGCCUCUCGUUUUCAUCUCCCUCACUUCACCCUUGCCGUUUUAUUCGCCCUCUCUUUUCCGCUCGCCUUUCUUUCGCCAUGUCGGAAUAAAAAAAGGUUGGGGUUUCUCUCCCGAGUUUUAGUACUCUGGACAACCCUUCUAUUCUCUCUAAACUCAUGAAUAAAGAUGCUAUGGAAAGACCUACCGGAGUUAUCAAUGAGAGUUGUCGGUGUUAAAACCGGCGGACCACGGGUAGGGGGUCCCGAACUGUGCGUCUAAGGCAGAUGGUAACAGGAGGCGAGGGACACGAUGUUUACCCAGGUUCGGGCCCUCUCGAUGGAGGUAAUACCCUACUUCCUGCUUGAUUGAUCUUGAUGAUAUGAGUAUUACAAGAGUUGAUCUACCACGAGAUCGAGGAGGCUAAAACCCUAGAAGCUAGCCUAUGGUAUGAUUGUUGUUGUCCUACGGACUAAACCCUCCGGUUUAUAUAGACACCGGAGGGGGCUAGGGUUACACAGAGUCGGUUACAAGGGAGGAGAUCUACAUAUCCGUAUUGCCAAGCUUGACUUCCACGCCAAGGAGAGUCCCAUCCGGACACGAGACGAAGUCUUCAAUCUUGUAUCUUCAUAGUCCAACAAUCCGGCUGUCCGAGGACCCCCUAAUCAAGGACUCCCUCAGUAGCCCCUGAACAAGGCUUCAAUGACGAUGAGUCCGGCGCGCAGAUUGUCUUCGGCAUUGCAAGGCGGGUUCCUCCUCCGAAUACUCCAUAGAAGAUUUUGAACACAAGGAUAGUGUCCGGCUCUGCAAAACAAAUUCCACAUACCACCGUAGAGAGAAUAAUAUUUCCACAAAUCUAAUUUGCUGACGCAUUUUGCAGCAUGACAUCACACCGCGGCCUGGUCAUUAUUCGAACCGUUUUUCACAACCAGCCACUGCACAUAUCGCGAGGCGGUUUCCUUGGCACGUCUUGUCGAAGCAGAGAUCGUGUCCCCUUAUCACGGGAUUCUCAUCAAUACGGGUGUGGGUAACCCAACCGCACCAUCAAUUACGGCGCUUGGGGAAUAAGCGAGUUUACCAGGUAGGUGGGGAGGCGCAUAGCUUCUUCCGCCCUUAUAAAGGGACAAGGAUUCACCCUUUUCACCCAUGCCUUCUUCCUCCUUGCUCAUCCAUUCUUGCGCACUCGAGCUCUAGCACCCAAGUUCGCGUUUUUUCUCCUCAAACCACUCCAAGCAUGUCCGGAGCGGGAGGCAAGUGGAUGGUCUCCUCUGUUACGGAGGAGAACAUCACAAAGCUGCGGGGAGCCGGAUAUCUGGCCGCGGAUAUCGCACACCGGCUGCCUGAUGCGGGGCAGAUCAUCCCUACUCCAGAACCCCAUGAGAGGGUGGUUUUUCUUACCCACUUCGUCCGCGGACUGGGAUUUCCCCUCCACCCGUUUGUCCACGGGCUCAUGUUCUACUACGGGCUAGACUUUCACAAUCUGGCCCCCAAUUUCAUCCUCAACAUCUCGGUGUUUAUCGUCGUGUGCGAGGCCUUCCUCUGCAUCAAGCCCCACUUCGGCCUGUGGCUGAAGACCUUCAAUGUUAAGCCGAAGGUGGUGGUCGGCCAGCAAGUGGAGUGCGGAGGCGCCAUGGUGGGCAAAAUGCCCAACGUCACCUGGCUCGAAGGCUCCUAUGUGGAGACCAUAAAGGGGUGGCAAUCGGGGUGGUUCUACAUCACCGAGCCGCGCGACACCAACUAGGUGGCGGCCCCCGAAUUUGGAUCUGGAAUCGCCAUGCGGUUCACCUCCUGGAAAGAGAAGGGCCUGUCCUAGGGUUCCCCGGUAGAGCUGACCGGACUCCAGACAUGCAUCAAAAACAUGAUGAGCAAGAAAAUCAAGCUCGUCAACGUGGUCCAAGUCAUGCUCUUCCGCCGGAUCCUCCCGUGUCAAAGACGGGCAUUCAAUUUGUGGGAGUUUGACCCGCCGAGCACCAGACGCUACGAGAGCUCUUCGACACGAUGCACAAUGAUGUCUGGAAGGUGCUGUUCAAGGGCGCCGAGGUACCUCCUCCCCUCACCGAGGACCGCGGACUCAGCGCAAGGCGCCCUGCCAAUCCGGUAAGUCUUUUACAUCUCAUAAGAUGUUCAUUUCCCCGGUGUAACCACGCGCGGGAUCUAAGCCUCCACGCCAUUUAACAGGACUGGGUAGCGACAGCGGAGCAGAUCGAUUGUCCGGCUCCCCUGCCCGAAGAUCCAGCAGAUGCUCUCCUAACGGAGAUGCUGGUUCCGGCACCUUAUGAGGUGCCAGAGAAGAAGGCCAAGAAGAAGGCCAUGGGGACCAGGAAGGGUCUCCGGCGCAAGGUUAUAUCGGACUCAUCGUCCGAAAACACCGAGGCGCACUCCUCCCAUGAAAACAAGGAGGAGGAAGAGGAAAGUUCUCCUCCCCCAGCCGGGGGAGACAAGAAAAGGAAGGCCGCCCUGGCUGGGGCGGCCGAAGGGUCCAAGAAGGGAAGGACCCUCCUUCCGGACAACUCCACAACCGCCGCCUAUAGCGACGACGAGUGGCUGCCCAGGGAUAAGCCCCUGGCGAAGUCGUAAGUAUCCGAAUACCAUAGUAAUUCUGGUAUGUCUUACUAUACUGUUUCUUAUCACGUCGCGCAUGAUUAUGCAGCCCAUCCCGAGCCCACAUCGACGUAUCUUCGUCGGAUGAUUCUUUGGGCCCGUCGGAUAUGAACAGCGAUUCACUCCCGACCGCAUCCUCCCCCCGCCCUACGGACGACACCGAGGUGUUGUCUCAAAGGGGACUAAACCAAGGGGAGACAGUUCCAGAGGCACUUCAAGGCGACAUUCCAGGCGUACGAGGGGCAAGACUCCUCUGGGCUCUAACGCCGGGGGCAGCAAGUCUAGCCCCAAGCCGAAUACGGCGCCGGAACCUCCAGUGGUUCUGGAUUCUGUCAGGCAACCCCUCACUAAGGGGGCGAGCCGUCUGUGCCGAUGGUCUCUGUCCAUCCAGAGGCAUCGGACAACUUGCUGGAAGCGCUUCGCAACGCUUCCAUUGAUGAAGAGCACCGCACUAUCAUGAGUGCGGUGGUCAAGAAGGUUCAGUCUGCCAAAAGCGGAUUGACUGAAGCCUGUGCCAGCCUCCUAACAGGCUUUGAGGUAAGUAAUCAAAUUAUAAGAAAAUAUUCCGGCAUAGACAGUAGCCCCUGAUGCUCUGUUUGGCGUUCGCGAAGGAAGGCCGAAUAGAGGAUCAAAUAAUAAUCGCAGGAGUCUAAUCAUAAUAUGUCUAUGUGCUUAUGCAGGCUUCACUGCUGGCUGCUGCCGCACGUACUGCGGAGGUCGCCGCACUGAAGCGGGACCUUGAGCGGUCCAAGGAAGAGCUCGGCCUUACUAAGAGGCAGCUCGAAGAGAACAAAGGUAAGUGAUACCCCUGUCUGUAUAUUAUAAAAAAUAUUUGGUUUUUGAAUAAUAGGAUCGUCAUGAAUUUUGCUAGGGGCCACGACCGAAGUGGCGGCCCUGCAGAAGGCGCUAUCCCAGGGCGAAGAUAAAGCGGCCAAGGGGCGCAUCGAGCGAGAGAAACAAGAGGCCCGAGUAGGCGAGGUGCAGCAAGAGCUCCAGGCUCUCGUCAAGAAGCACGAGUCCUUGGAGCGUGACUCUAAGACGCAAGGGUCCGAGCUUGUGAAGGCCCUCGAAAGUGCACAACAUGCCAAGGCCGAAGACCAAAAGGCCCUCCAGGAAAUUGAGGCAGUUAAGAAGAUAGCAGCGGGUAAGGCAUUCAUUAUGCAAAGCAAGCAUGUGAAGGAAACUUUCUUUUUACUUACCCGAGUUCGGAGCUCUCCAGGAGCGUUCGCAGAUCUACCCCGCAGUGUGCCAGAUGCCGCGGAGUUCUAUCGGGCCGAGGAGGGGAGCUCGACGGAGAAGUUGUCCUGGUCUCAGUAUACUGGGAUCGAACACCCAAUGCCCUUGAGCGACCAGCUGAAGCAACUGGUCGAGCUCCACAAGGCGGCCGAACAGGCCAUGAAGGGUCUUAUAGUCCGGAUGUGGCCUGGCGAGCCCCUACCUGAUAGCUACUUUGGUCUGGUGAGGCAGCUUGUGAAUGCCUGCCCACGGCUUGAAGUCAUAAAGCGGUCCGUCUGCAUCGAGGGUGCGCGCAGGGCUUUUGCCCGGGCGAAGGUGCACUGGGCGAAGCUGGACGCCGAAAAGCUGGUGAAGGAGGGGCCGCCGGAGGGCAAGGAGCAUCGCCACCCCGAAAAGUAUUAUGAAAGUGUCUUGAAGGGUUCUCGCCUUGUGGCAAAGGAAUGUGCUAAGGAUGUAAUAUUUGAAUAAAUGUACUCAUGUGAUCCUGUAAUGUGAAACGAGUUCAUUUGCGCUCACUACAAAAAAAAUACACUUCCGUGAUGAUACGUGUUUGUCACAGUAGGUCGCGUUUUUUGUCAUGCAUGUACAUCCAUGACAAAUUUAUGACAGAAUCAAGAUAGUCAUACCUGUGCUGUUGUAGAAGUGUUCCAUGACAUUACCAAAAUUAUCAUCACGGAAGUGUCCACUUCCAUGACGAUAAAUCACGCGUCACAGAAGUGCUUUCGUCAAGGGUGACCGACACGUGGCAUCCACCAUAACGGAACACCGUUAAGCUAUCGGGUCGGGUUUUGGAUCCGAUAACCCGUUAAUAGCCCCGACCAAUGGGGAUUUUCCACGUGUAAAAUCAUCAUUGGCUGGAGGAAACACGUGUCGGCUCAUCGCUGGGACAGAUGUCAUCCACUCAUUGGACAGAAGGCGCCUAUGAUACGUCGACAUGUGGCACGACCCAACAGUGGCCCAUUCCUGUGAAAAGGCCGGCCCGUUUGGCUUGGUCAAAAGGUGGCGGGCCGGCCCAUGGAAAUGUUGGGGAAUGUAGUAAUUUAAAAAAAUUUCCUACGCACACGCAAGAUCAUGGUGAUGCAUAGCAACGAGAGGGGAGAGUGUUGUCCACGUACCCUCGUAGACCGAAAGCGGAAGCGUUAACACAACGCGGUUGAUGUAGUCGUACGUCUUCACGAUCCGACCGAUCAAGUACCGAACGCACGGCACCUCCGAGUUCAGCACACGUUCAGCUCGAUGACGUCCCUCGAACUCCGAUCCAGCCGAGUGUUGAGGGAGAGUUUCGUCAGCACGACGGCGUGGUGACGAUGAUGAUGUUCUACCGAUGCAGGGCUUCGCCUAAGCACCGCUACGAUAUUAUCGAGGUGUAAUAUGGUGGAGGGGGCACCGCACACGGCUAAGAGAUCAAUAGAUCAAUUGUUGUGUCUAUGGGGUGCCCCCCUGCCCCCGUAUAUAAAGGAGCAAGGGGGAGGCCGCCGGCCAAGGAGGAGGGCGCGCCAAGGGGGGAGUCCUACUCCCACCGGGAGUAGGACUCCUCCUUUCCUUGUUGGAAUAGGAGAAGGGAAGGGAGAAGGAGAAAGAAGGAAGGGGGCGCCCCCCUCCCUAGUACAAUUCGGACUAGUCCAUGGGGAGGGGUGCGGCCACCCUUUGGGGCCUUUCUCUCCUUUCCUGUAUGGCCCAUUAAGGCCCAAUACGAAUUCCCGUAACUCUCCGGUACUCCGAAAAAUACCCGAAUCACUCGGAACCUUUCCGAAGUCCGAAUAUAGUCGUCCAAUAUAUCGAUCUUUACGUCUCGGCCAUUUCGAGACUCCUCGUCAUGUUCCCGAUCUCAUCCGGGACUCCGAACUCCUUCGGUACAUCAAAAUACAUAAACUCAUAAUAAAACUGUCAUCGUAACGUUAAGCGUGCGGACCCUACGGGUUCGAGAACUAUGUAGACAUGACCGACACACCUCUCCGGUCAAUAACCAAUAGCGGAACCUGGAUGCUCAUAUUGGUUCCCACAUAUUCUACGAAGAUCUUUAUCGGUCAGACCGCAUAACAACAUACGUUGUUCCCUUUGUCAUCGGUAUGUUACUUGCCCGAGAUUCGAUCGUCGGUAUCUCAAUACCUAGUUCAAUCUCGUUACCGGCAAGUCUCUUUACUCGUUCCGUAAUACAUCAUCUCGCAACUAACUCAUUAGUCACAAUGUUUGCAAGGCUUAUAGUGAUGUGCAUUACCGAGUGGGCCCAGAGAUACUUCUCCGACAAUCGGAGUGACAAAUCCUAAUCUCGAAAUACGCCAACCCAACAAGUACCUUUGGAGACACCUGUAGAGCACCUUUAUAAUCACCCAGUUACGUUGUGACGUUUGGUAGCACACAAAGUGUUCCUCCGGUAAACGGGAGUUGCAUAAUCUCAUAGUCAUAGGAACAUGUAUAAGUCAUGAAGAAAGCAAUAGCAACAUACUAAACGAUCGAGUGCUAAGCUAACGGAAUGGGUCAAGUCAAUCACAUCAUUCUCCUAAUGAUAUGAUCCCAUUAAUCAAAUGACAACUCAUGUCUAUGGCUAGGAAACAUAACCAUCUUUGAUCAACGAGCUAGUCAAGUAGAGGCAUACUAGUGACACUUUGUUUGUCUAUGUAUUCACACAUGUAUCAUGUUUCCGGUUAAUACAAUUCUAGCAUGAAUAAUAAACAUUUAUCAUGAUAUAAGGAAAUAAAUAAUAACUUUAUUAUUGCCUCUAGGGCAUAUUUCCUUCAGUCUCCCACUUGCACUAGAGUCAAUAAUCUAGUUCACAUCGCCAUGUGAUUUAGCAUCAAUAAUUCACAUCACCAUGUGAUUAACACCCAUAGUUCACAUUGUCAUGUGACCAACACCCAAAGGGUUUACUAGAGUCAAUAAUCUAUUUCACAUCGCUAUGUGAUUAACACCCAAAGAGUACUACGGUGUGAUCAUGUUUUGCUUGUGAGAUAAUUUUAGUCAACGGGUCUGUCACAUUCAGAUCCGUAAGUAUUUUGCAAAUUUCUAUGUCUACAAUGCUCUGCACGGAGCUAAUUGCUCCCACUUUCAAUAUGUAUCUAGACUAAGACUUAGAGUCAUCUAGAUUAGUGUCAAAACUUGCAUCGACGUAACCCUUUACGACGAACCUUUUGUCACUCCCAUAAUCGAGGGACAUAUCCUUAUUCCACUAAGGAUAAUUUUGACCGCUGUCCAGUGAUCUACUCCUAGAUCACUAUUGUACUCCCUUGCCAAAAUCAGUGUAGGGUAUACAAUAGAUCUGGUACACAGCAUGGCAUACUUUAUAGAACCUAUGGCUAAGGCAUAGGGAAUGACUUUCAUUCUUUUUCUAUCUUCUGCCGUGGUCGGGCUUUGAGUCUUACUCAAUUUCACACCUUGUAACACAGGCAAGAACUCUUUCUUUGACUGUUCUAUUUUGAACUACUUCAAAAUCUUGUUAAGGUAUGUACUCAUUGAAAAAACUUAUCAAGCGUCUUGAUCUAUCUCUAUAGAUCUUGAUGCUCAAUAUGUAAGCAGCUUCACCGAGGUCUUUCUUUGAAAAACUCCUUUCAAACACUCCUUUAUGCUUUGCAGAAUAAUUCUACAUUAUUUCCGAUCAACAAUAUGUCAUUCACAUAUACGUAUCAGAAAUGCUGUAGUGCUCCCACUCACUUUCUUGUAAAUACAGGCUUCACCGCAAGUCUGUAUAAAACUAUAUCCUUUGAUCAACUUAUCAAAGCGUAUAUUCCAACUCCGAGAUGCUUGCACCAGUCCAUAGAUGGAUCGCUGGAGCUUGCAUAUUUUGUUAGUACUUUUAGGAUUGACAAAACCUCCUUGUUGCAUCAUAUACAACUCUUCUUUUAAUAAAUCCAUUAAGGAAUGCAGUUUUGUUUAUCCAUUUGCCAUAUUUCAUAAAAUGCGGCAAUUGCUAACAUGAUUCAGACAGACUUAAGCAUAAAUACGAGUGAGAAACUCUCAUCGUAGUCAACACCUUGAACUUGUCGAAAACCUUUUUGCGAUAAUUCUAGCUUUGUAGACAGUAACACUACUAUUCCUGUCUGUCUUCCUCUUGAAGAUCCAUUUAAUCUCAAUGGCUCGCCGAUCAUUGGGCAAGUCAAUCAAAGUCCAUACUUUGUUCUCAUAUAUGGAUCUCAUCUCAGAUUUCAUGGCCUCAAGCCAUUUCCCGGAAUCUGGGCUCAUCAUUGCUUCCUCAUAGUUCGUAGGUUCGUCAUGGUCAAAUAACAUGACCUCCAGAACAGGAUUACCGUACCACUCUGGUGUGGAUCUCACUCUGGUUUACCUACGAGGUUUGGUAGUAACUUGAUCUGAAGUUACAUGAUCAUCAUCAUUAACUUCCUCACUAAUUGGUGUAGGAGUCACAGGAACAGAUUUCUGUGAUGAACUACUUUCCAAUAAGGGAGCAGGUACAGUUACCUCAUCAAGUUCUACUUUCCUCCCACUCACUUCUUUCGAGAGAAACUCCUUCUCUAGAAAGGAUCCAUUCUUAGCAACGAAUGUCUUGCCUUCGGAUCUGUGAUAGAAGGUGUACCCAACUGUCUCCUUUGGGUAUCCUAUGAAGACACAUUUCUUCGAUUUGGGUUUGAGCUUAUCAGGAUGAAACCUUUUCACAUAAGCAUCGCAACCCCAAACUUUAAGAAACGACAACUUUGGUUUCUUGCCAAACCACAGUUCAUAAGAUGUCGUCUCAACGGAUUUAGAUGGUACCCUAUUUAACGUGAAUGCAACUGUCUCUAAUGCAUAACCCCAAAACGAUAGUGGUAGAUCGGUAAGAGACAUCAUAUAUCGCACCAUAUCUAAUAAAGUACGGUUACGAUGUUCGGACACACCAUUACACCGUGGUGUUCCAGGUGGCGUGAGUAGUGAAACUAUUUCACAUUGUUUUUAACUGAAGGCCAAACUCGUAACUCAAAUACUCUUCUCCAUUGUCAGAUCGUAGAAACUUUAUUUUCUUGUUACGAUGAUUUUCCGCUUCACUCUGAAAUUAUAUGAACUUUUCAAAUGUUUCAGACUUCUGUUUCAUUAAGUAGAUAUACCCAUAUCUGCUCAAAUCAUCUGUGAAGGUCAGAAAAUAAUGAUACCUGCUACGAGCCUCAAUAUUCAUCGGACCACAUACAUUUGUAUGUAUGAUUUCCAACAAAUCUGUUGCUCUUUCCAUAGUUCCGGAGAACGGCGUUUUAGUCAUCUUGCCCAUGAGGCACGGUUCGCAAGCAUCAAGUGAUUCCAAAAUCCCAUCAGUAUGGAGUUUCUUCAUGCGCUUUACACCAAUAUGACCUAAACGGCAGUGCCACAAAUAAGUUGCACUAUCAUUAUUAACUUUGCAUCUUUUGGCUUCAUUAUUAUGAAUAUGUGUAUCACUAUGAUCGAGAUCCAACAAACCAUUUUAUUGGGUGUAUGACCAUAGAAGGUUUUAUUCAUGUAAACAGGACAACAAUUAUUCUCUAAUUUAAAUGAAUAACCGUAUUGCAACAAACAUGAUCAAAUCAUAUUCAUGCUCAACGCAAACACCAAAUAACACUUAUUUAGUUUCAACACUAAUCCCAAAAGUAUAGGGAGUGUGCGAUGAUGAUCAUAUCAAUCUUGGAACUACUUCCAACACACAUCGUCACCUCGCCUUUUACUAGUCUCUGUUUAUUCUGCAACUCCCGUUUCGAGUUACUACUCUUAGCAACUGAAGCAGUAUCAAAUACCGAGGGGUUGCUAAAAACACUAGUAAAGUGCACAUCAAUAACAUGUAUAUCCAAUAUACCUUUGUUCACUUUGCCAUCCUUCUUAUCCACCAAAUACUUGGGGUAGUUCCGCUUCCAGUGACCAGUCCCUUUGCAGUAGAAGCACUUAGUCUCAGGCUUAGGACCAGACUUAGGCUUCUUCACUUGAGCAGCAACUUUCUUGCCAUUCUUCUUGAAGUUCCCCUUCUUCCCUUUGCCAUUUUCUUGAAACUAGUGUUCUCGUCAACCAUCAACACUUGAUGUUUUUCUUGAUUUCUACCUUCGUCGAUUUCAGCAUCACGAAGAGCUCGGGAAUUACUUUCGUCAUCCCUUGCAUACUAUAGUUCAUCACGAAGUUCUACUAACUUGGUGAUGGUGACUAGAGAAUUCUGUCAAUCACUAUUUUAUCUGGAAGAUUAACUCCCACUUGAUUCAAGCGAUUGUAGUACCCAAACAAUCUGAGCACAUGCUCACUGCUUGAGAUAUUCUCCUCCAUCUUUUAGCUAUAGAACUUGUUGGAGACUUCAUAUCUCUCAACUCGGGUAUUUGCUUGAAAUAUUAACUUCAACUUCUGGAACAUCUCAUAUGGUCCAUGACGUUCAAAACGUCUUUGAAGUCCCGAUUCUAAGCCGUUAAGCAUGGUGCACUAAACUAUCAAGCAGUCAUCAUAUUGAGCUAGCCAAACGUUCAUAACGUCUGCAUCUGCUCCUGCAAUAGGUCUGUCACCUAGUGGUGCAUCAAGGACAUAAUUCUUCUGUGCAGCAAUGAGGAUAAUCCUGAGAUCACGGAUCCAAUCCGCAUCUUUGCUACUAACAUCUUUCAACAUAAUUUUUCUCUAGGAACAUAUCAAAAUAAACACAGGGAAGCAACAACGCGAGCUAUUGAUCUACAACAUAAUUUGCAAAAUACUAUCAGGACUAAGUUCAUGAUAAAUUUAAGUUCAAUCAAUCAUAUUACUUAAGAACUCCCACUUAGAUAGACAUCCCUCUAAUCCUCUAAGUGAUCACGUGAUCCAUAUCAACUAAACCAUGUCCGAUCAUCACGUGAGAUGGAGUAGUUUCAAUGGUGAACAUCACUAUGUUGAUCAUAUCUACUAUAUGAUUCAUGCUCGACCUUGCGGUCUCCGUGUUCUGAGGCCAUAUCUGCAUAUGCUAGGCUCGUCAAGUUUAACCUGAGUAUUCUGCGUGUGCAACUAUUUUGCACCCGUUGUAUUUGAACGUAGAGCCUAUCACACCCGAUCAUCACGUGGUGUCUCAGCACGAAGAACUUUCGCAACGGUGCAUACUCAGGGAGAACACUUUUAUCUUGAAAUUUUAGUGAGAGAUCAUCUUAUAAUGCUACCGUCAAUCAAAGCAAGAUAAGAUGCAUAAAAGAUAAACAUCACAUGCAAUCAAUAUAAGUGAUAUGAUAUGGCCAUCAUCAUCUUGUGCUUGUGAUCUCCAUCUCAGAAGCACCGUCAUGAUCACCAUCGUCACCGGCGCGACACCUUGAUCUCCAUCGUAGCAUCGUUGUCGUCUCGCCAACUAUUGCUUUUACGACUAUCGCUACCGCUUAGUGAUAAAGUAAAACAAUUACAUGGCGAUUGCAUUGCAUACAAUAAAGCGACAACCAUAUGGCUCCUGCCAGUUGCCGAUAACUCGGUUACAAAACAUGAUCAUCUCAUACAAUAAAAUAUAGCAUCAUGUCUUGACCAUAUCACAUCACAACAUGCCCUACAAAAACAAGUUAGACGUCCUCUACUUUGUUGUUGCAAGUUUUACGUGGCUGCUACGGGCUUAGCAAGAACCUUUCUUACCUACGCAUCAAAACCACAAUGAUAGUUUGUCAAGUUGGUGCUGUUUUAACCUUCGCAAGGACCGGGCGUAGCCACACUCGGUUCAACUAAAGUGAGAGAGACAAACACCCGCCAAUCACCUUUAAGCAACGAGUGCUCGCAACGGUGAAACCAGUCUCGCGUAAGCGUACGCGUAAUGUCGGUCCGGGCCGCUUCAUCUCACAAUACCGCCGAACCAAAAUAUGACAUGCUGGCAAGCAGUAUGACUUAUAUCGCCCACAACUCACUUGUGUUCUACUCGUGCAUAUAACAUCAACGCAUAAAACCAGGCUCUGAUACCACUGUUGGGGAACGUAGUAAUUUCAAAAAAUUUCCUACGCACACGCAAGAUCAUGGUGAUGCAUAGCAACGAGAGGGGAGAGUGUUGUCCACGUACCCUCGUAGACCGAAAGCGGAAGCGUUAACACAACGCGGUUGAUGUAGUCGUACGUCUUCACGAUCCGACCGAUCAAGUACCGAACGCACGGCACCUCCGAGUUCAGCACAUGUUCAGCUCGAUGACGUCCCUCGAACUCUGAUCCAGCCGAGUGUUGAGGGAGAGUUUCGUCAGCACGACGGCGUGGUGACGAUGAUGAUGUUCUACCGACGCAGGGCUUCGCCUAAGCACCGCUACGAUAUUAUCGAGGUGUAAUAUGGUGGAGGGGGGCACCGCACACGGCUAAGAGAUCAAUAGAUCAAUUGUUGUGUCUAUGGGGUGCCCCCCUACCCCCGUAUAUAAAGGAGCAAGGGGGAGGCCGCCGGCCAAGGAGGAGGGCGCGCCAAGGGGGGAGUCCUACUCCCACCGGGAGUAGGACUCCUCCUUUCCUUGUUGGAAUAGGAGAAGGGAAGGGAGAAGGAGAAAGAAGGAAGGGGGCGCCCCCCUCCCUAGUCCAAUUCGGACUAGUCCAUGGGGAGGGGUGCGGCCACCCUUUGGGGCCUUUCUCUCCUUUCCCGUAUGGCCCAUUAAGGCCCAAUACGAAUUCCCGUAACUCUCCGGUACUCCGAAAAAUACCCGAAUCACUCGGAACCUUUCCGAAGUCCGAAUAUAGUCGUCCAAUAUAUCGAUCUUUACGUCUCGGCCAUUUUGAGACUCCUCGUCAUGUCCCCGAUCUCAUCCCGGACUCCUAACUCCUUCGGUACAUCAAAAUACAUAAACUCAUAAUAAAACUUUCAUCGUAACGUUAAGCGUGCGGACCCUACGGGUUCGAGAACUAUGUAGACAUGACCGAGACACCUCUCUGGUCAAUAACCAAAAGCGGAACCUGGACGCUCAUAUUGGUUCCCACAUAUUCUAUGAAGAUCUUUAUCGGUCAGACCGCAUAACAACAUACGUUGUUCCCUUUGUCAUCGGUAUGUUACUUGCCCGAGAUUCGAUCGUCGGUAUCUCAAUACCUAGUUCAAUCUCGUUACCGGCAAGUCUCUUUACUUGUUCCGUAAUACAUCAUCCUGCAACUAACUCAUUAGUCACAAUGCUUGCAAGGCUUAUAGUGAUGUGCAUUACCGAGUGGGCCCGGAGAUACCUCUCCGACAAUCGGAGUGACAAAUCCUAAUCUCAAAAUACGCCAACCCAACAGGUACCUUUGGAGACACCUGUAGAGCACCUUUAUAAUCACCCAGUUACGUUGUGACGUUUGGUAGCACACAAAGUGUUCCUCCGGUAAACGGGAGUUGCAUAAUCUCAUAGUCAUAGGAACAUGUAUAAGUCAUGAAGAAAGCAAUAGCAACAUACUAAAUGAUCGAGUGAUAAGCUAACGGAAUGGGUCAAGUCAAUCACAUCAUUCUCCUAAUGAUAUGAUCCCGUUAAUCAAAUGACAACUCAUGUCUAUGGCUAGGAAACAUAACCAUCUUUGAUCAACGAGCUAGUCAAGUAGAGGCAUAAUAGUGACACUCUGUUUGUCUAUGUAUUCACACAUGUAUCAUGUUUCCGGUUAAUACAAUUCUAGCAUGAAUAAUAAACAUUUAUCAUGAUAUAAGGAAAUAAAUAAUAACUUUAUUAUUGCCUCUAGGGCAUAUUUCCUUCAGGAAAGCCUGUUAACGGCCUGUUCGCAUAUAGCCCAUUUACAGCCCGCUAACCCAAGGCCCGUUAGGCCCUAUUCGAAUUAGCCCAGUAGCGUCAUCUGGGCCACCCAAUAUGAUUCUAGCCCGUUUUCACUUCUGGCCCAUGUAUGGCCCAUGACGUCUUUCGGCCCACAUGAGGCCCUAUGUAAGUCUUGGCCUAUUAACGGCCCGUGCUGAAACUGGCCCAUAAUGAACAGUGUAUUACUUUACACCCAUUAACGACCCGUGGUGAAACUGGCCCGUAAUGAAUAGUGUAUCACUUUAUACCCAUUAACGGCCCGUUAUUCCGUUGGGCCGUUUCCAGCCCAUGUUAUCUUUCGGCCUUCUCAGAGCCCAUUUAUUCUUCGUCUAUUUUCCAGCAUUCGUUUACUUACGGCCCGUUAGUGUCAUUUUCUGCUUGUGGGCCAAAUUCAGCCCGUCGUUACAGUCGGCCCGUUUGUGGUCCGCUAAUACGUUGGGCCGUUUUCAUAGCGUCAUCAAAUAUGGCCUAUUAACGACGGCCCGUUAUGGUCGGCCCAUGAAUGGACGAUACCAACUCUAGCCCGUUACGGCCAUAAUGCGGUCUGUUUGGCCCAUUUUUGGCCAAUCGAUCAUACGACCCGUAUAAGGCCCAUUGAUGAUACGACCCGUAGAAGGCCCAUUGUUUCUACGGCCCGUAGAAGGCCCACUGUUUCUACGGCCCGUAGAAGGCCCACUGUUUAUACGGCCCGUAGAAGGCCCACUGUUUCUACGGCCCAUAGGAGGCCCAGUGUCACUACAGUAAGUAUUAGCCCAUGGUUAUUGUGGCCUAGUUUUUAAAAAUAGGUUAUUGCAGCCACUAGCAAACCGCAGAAAAAGAACUGCACUGACUACAAGCAAACAAAUAAACAAGACAACAAGGAAAUAAAUAAGCAAGCAACUUACACUAGGCUAUCACGGCUAUUACACAUAUUACAUCCACUGGGCAUCAAAGUUCGCCACAAGUGCAAAUAUAGGGAACACAGCAGCAUAUAAACGCCGCAGCAAAACAAGUCCAGAACUGAAACCACUUCAGAAGAGCUCAAGAAACAAUAUCCUGGGUACCCAUAAUGCUGGCAAGAUGCUUAGCAAGCUUAUUAACUUUCUCUUGUUUGGCGCUUAAGUCCUCCAGCGCUUGCUGUUGCACGAGAAAGUAUGCAUCUGAAUUCUGCAGGGACUUCCUCAGUCCUUCGGCUUCCUGUCGCAUAACAUCUGAUCGAUGUCUUUCAACUUGAAGUUGAGACUCAAGAAGCCGAACUGAUUCAGGCAACGAGUUCGAAGAGCUGGUGCCAACAGUGGUAGCCAGUAACUCGAACACUACAUCAAGACAGUUCUUCGGGGUUGUUUCAGUGUUUUCAAUAUAUCUUUUAUCAGCUUUCUUGGAGACCAACAGGGAUGUCUCACUAUCUUGAACCUUAUCUGCAUUACUUCCUUUACCAUUGCAUAACAGGGUACUCUUCUCCAAUAUUUUAUCCGCGUUCUAAAAGAGAAACAAACAAACACAUCUCAGGUUUACAAUGUAGUAUAUGAAACUCAUUUUGGUAAACGAGUUCAGUAGUAAGGUGGACAGGAUAACAGGAUGAAACAAACAUAUAUCUAUGUAGUAUGGUCACUGUAUGGUCUAUAUCAUUCUAGUUUAUGUUGCCAAAUCAAGAUAGAUACAGUUUGAAUCAUAUCUAUUUAAGACAAAGCAGCAUAGACAGAAUAUAAGUGUGGGAAACUACACAGCAAUAACAACACUUGUAAUGUGCAUGGCAUGAGAACAUAACUGUUUAUUCAAUUGAAACUGAAAUCAACAUAGAGCAAGUUACAACAGCAAACAGCCAAACGCGUUGAAGAAACAGGUUUAAAACAUACCUGUUGCGCCAUUGGAGUUUCAAUUGCAUCCUUCAAAUUUGAAAUUAGUUGGUAUCAGUAAAUACAGUGAUGCAAGAGCAAAGUAGUAUGAACCAUAGCUAUGGAACCUGAUCUGAGAACAAUUCUUCUUCUGCUUUAAGCGUUGACUUCGGGUUCGGAGUGGUGGUCCUCGUGAUUUGGGCACUGCAGUUGCCUUACUAACUGCUCGUGUUUGGGUGCUCUGUGGUGGAGACGGUGCUGUGUCAAUGGGAACUGGGUGUCUAUCUACUGGGGUUGGGGUUAGAAGGGGUGUAGCUGGUUCUCUGUCCAACUGGGUAGGGGUACAAUCUGCAUGAGUGUGGGUUAUGUGUGGUGGGGCUGGUUCUUGGGCAAGUACAACCGUGGUUCUACUUGCAUCGACAGGUAGCACGAUCUUUUCUGAAGACCGUGUUUUUACUCCCACAGAUACUGCCAUCACUCCCUCCAAUUGAAAUGGCUGAUAAACAAGAAAAGUAAUUGAAUGUACAGACAUUGUAAGAUAGACAGGUGCAAUGGAUAGUAGGGAAGAAAACAGGGCAUGAAAUAAUUCACAUUUAUGUUGUCUAAGAAAACAGAAUAGCAGGACAUAAUUUCAAAUAUAUGAUGGCUAAUUAAACAGGAUAGCAUGACACAAUUUCACAUCUAUGAUGGCUAACUAAAUAGGAUAGAAUGACAUACUUCAAAAUAUGAUGACUAUGUAAACAGGAUAACAUGAUAUAACUAUACGAUGUGUCUAUUAAAGUGGUUGGCAUGCCAUAAAUCAGAAACAUGCCGUCGAUGGAAACAUGAUGGCAUGAUAUAAUUCACGGAUAGAAUGACAUAAUUUAAAAUAUUAUGACUAUGUAAACAGGAUGAGAUGAUAUAACUAUAUUAUGUCUUUAGAAAAUGGGUUGGCAUGCCAUAAUUCAGAUACAUGCUAUCUAUGUAAACAUCAUGGCAUGACAUAAUUCAAAUAUAUGAUUUAUAUACUAAGGAAGUGAGCAGAGGGCAAUCGCAUAUAUGAUGUGUCAACUAAGGAGAUGGCAUUCAAUAUUGUGUAUAUGAUGUAAAAACUAAGCAUUGCAAUACAAUAUAUGCAUUAUAUGAGUAAUAUAACCCUGCCAAGUUUGAGCAUACACCUUAGAGGGAUAAUAGGACUGGUCAUCUGCCUCUGAAUCCUCCUCUGAAGAGCUAUCUGUAACCAACAAGAUAUCUGCUUUAGCAGGUAGCAUUGUCUGCUCUGAAGACCUUGUUUUCACUCCAGAUUUCUCCAUCACCAAUUCAAAUGGCUGAUGCACAGGAAGAGCAGUUGAAUAUACAAACAUUGUCGACAAAAGCAAUGAGAAAUACAAAAAAGGACGGCAUGAUAUAAUUCACAUAUAUGACGCUUGCCUAAACAGCAUGGCAUUGCAUAAUUCACAUACAUAAUGCCUUGCAACAAGAUAACAUUGCAUAAUUCACAUAUAUAAUGUCUUGCAACAAGAUGGCAUUGCAUAAUUCACAUAUAUGGUAAUUAGACACUAAACAGGUGGCAUUCACACAAAGCAUGUCUAAACUAAGCAAAUGACAUAGCAAUGCAAGAUACCAUAUGCACGAUAUGAGCAACAUAACCCUGCCAAGUUAGGGCAUGCACCUCGGGGGGGGGGAUAUGACUGCUCAUCUGUCUCUGAAUCCUCCUCUGAAGAGCUAUCGGUAACCAGCAAGACAUGCGCUUCGUCAGAUAGCAUUGUCUACUCUGAAGACCUUGUUUCCACUCCAGAUUUUUCCAUGACCGUGCCAAAUGGCUGAUGCACAGGAAGAGUAAUUGAAUGUACUAAAAUUGUUGACAAAUUUAACACGUAAUAAAAAAAUGGUGGCAUGAUAUAAUUCACAUAUAAGAUGACUGGCUAACCAGGGUGGCAUUGCAAAAUUCACAUAUAUGAUGCCUGGCUAGACAAGAUGGCAUUGCAUGAUUCACAUAUACGAUAAAGAAACUAAACAGAUGGCAUUGACACAAAGCAUGUCUAAACUAAGCAGAUGACAUCUUUAAUGUAUAUAGUAAGCAAUGCAAGGCACCAUAUGCAUGAUAUUACCAACAUCAGCAUGCCAAGUUAGAGCGAAGACCUCAUGGGGUAAAUAGGAGUGGUCUUCUCCUUCUGAAUCCCCCACAGAACAGUUAUCUUCCUCUUGAUUACGAUCUAAAAUGGGCGGAGGGGGGGGCUGCCUUUGCGCCCAACAUGGAACGACGUCUGCAUGAAAUUUUAUUGCCACGCAAGGCUCGUCUCUUUUGCUCUACAUGAUCAGUUCCAUUGUGUACAAUAACUGGCAUGCAUAGGAAUAAAACAUAGUGAGAUUAUGUAAGGAGUGCAUGCACAAAUCCAGAGUGAUGGUAGCAAACUAUGGAUAGACCCAAAACUAAUCAUAGCAGGCAGAUAAUAGCUUUAGUUAAAAAAUACAGAUAAUGACUCCUUUAAUGUUUGUUUGCACCCAACAUGAAACUCAUAGUAGACACCAGAGGUUAACCAGAUAGUAGACAGAUAGUACUGAUUGCUGCCCCAAUAUGUACCCCACAACCAUUUAAAAACUCAAGUUUCAGCAUUAGUUUGGACCUGACUCGGAGUCUAAUAGGUGAACACGAUGAUAAUGUAGCAUGUCAUCAUAUUAAGCGACGCAUAGUGUAAGCAGACACGGAAGAGUGCGACCUCUCUUGCGGGCCCGUGUAGUCCUCAAGGUCAUCUGCUCAGUUGAUGAUGGUAAUGCAGUUGCCGUGGCUGCUGGCGGCGGGGAAGAAGAUCUGAGGCGGUGAAAGACAGUCUUGAGAGCGGAUCCCUGCUGUGGUGAACCCUUCCGUCGUUGGAGCAGCUGAGCUGGGGUGGAACACAGCGCCGCAGGAGCAGGACAAACCACAUAAGGUUUUCUUUGACACAUAUCUCUAACAGAAGUAAUUGAGUAAGGGCUUGUUUGAAUUCGAGGAUUCUAACAAUGCAGGGAUAGGAAAUAGACCGGAAUAGGAUAGGAAUGCACGUUUAAAACAGAGAAUUUAAAAACACAGGAUUUCUGCCAAUCUGGGUGUUUGAUUCACAACAAUUGGAAGAUCACAGGAUGCAAAAAAGCAUGGUGAGAUUUAGUCAAACCACAAGAAAAUGUACGGUUAUAAUUCUAUUAUGCUACUAUCUCUUAGUCUCGUGCUUGAUGAAUAGGAAUAUGAAAAGGAGGAGAAGUGGAAAUUAGAAUUCCUACGGUUUUUCUUUCAAGGAGACACUAAAGGAACAAAUCCUACAGUUUUCCUUUGCUCCAUUCCUUUGCACAAAAUUCAUGAAAAGUAGUACCAUAGGAAACUUUCCAAUUCUGAUGUUUUUCAUUCACUUUUCCUUUCAAGCACUGGAGAUUCUAGUAGGCAGGCUUGAGCAAGGAAAAUCCUACACUAAAAAAUGUUUUUGUGCUACUUCUAUUACUUUGGACCCAGGCCACUGCCAUACUAGCUCAACUCCCAGGCCCAUCGACAAAUGCACAGCUCAAACGCGCAGAGAUAAAUAAUGAUGGCGUCAAGAGAGUCCAUCACGGAUAGCUAAGUUGCUUGGUACCUCACUGCUUGUCAUAUAGUAGGAUAAAAUAAUCGUAUUUCCCGUUACUACGAGUGCUCAGUGGACAAUAUAUAUAACAUGUAGAGUAAAAAAGAGAUGCAACAAGUGUACAACCUCUUUGGCGAAGCCAUGUCGAUCUCAGCAUGAUUGGGUUGGCCAGUGAGGAUGCUCCGGCUGACUUGGCUGUCGGAGGAGGGAAAGAAGAUCUUAGGCGUCUGGAGAUGGAGCCCGAGGUACUGCUCCGCUGUGAUGGAGGGUUCCGUCGUUGGAGCAGCUCCAGUGAGUUGUACGAUGCCGAGGCUGAAGCAGGACAAGAGAGACAACGAACAACGUUAACCUGAGUGGAAUUCUAAUAGCAUCUCCAAUACAUGACGUAAAAUACAUAACCACAAAGUGCUAGAUGUAAAAUACAUCAGCCACUCAUGAAGGCACACACCCACACACAUCCCCCUCUCCAUCAUAUCGGGCAUUCUUUAUCUCUCACACGUGCAUGCGCAAUGAUCGAUGUUCCUCUAUGUAUGUGUGUAUAUAGCUAGGUCUUUCAUAGUUUUCCACACAAACCGAUGAAUCGAUAUAUCUAGUGAGGUCUCACCCUCUUUCCCACGUCCACAUCGAUCAAUCUAUACCUCUCUAUAUAGGAUUAACAUAUAUAGCUAAUACACCCACAUUAAUUAUAUAUCCAACAUCCCCCUCUCAUCAUCCAUGCUUUCCGCUUCAUCUCUCAGACGCGUGCACAAUGGCGAAGACAGGGGGCAGUAAGGGCCCUGCCCCCUCCCCCCUAACAUCACUAUAUAUCGAGGCUAAUAUGAAUGUGAUCAUUAGACAAUUGCUGCUAAAAAUGGUUUAAGUUCAUGAAUUGACCCUCCUCGUAAAGGAUUAGCAAUGCUUGGCCCCCUAGCUCAUUUAUUUUUCAUGGCUCCUCCCACUACAAAAAAAAGACACAUCCGUGACAUUUUGGGCCAAACGAAUUUUUUUUCUGUCAUACAUAUGACACUUCUAUGACGAUAAUUGUGACAAAACCCGGUAUCAUCAUAGAUGUGGUGGGAUCCUACUUCUAUGACAAAAAAUCAUGACAGAAAAUGGGCUUUUCGUCCUGGGCGGGCCGGAGACGCAGCUGCAUGCCAUUCUUUGGGCCGUCCAUGACGGAAAAAACCGUGGUAGAAGCGAGGGCGAGGAAAAUUUCGGGGAGUUCCCAGUUACGGUGGGAGGUCGGGGGCCGAGCGAUGCGUGUUUCUCUUGUACACGUACGCGCGUGUGUGCGAGGCGUUGGCUCUAACUGAACCUGAGCGAGGCGUUGGGCUCUAACUGAACCCGAGCGAUUGCACUGCAGGCUACGCGUUACUGAACCCGAGCGAUCGAUCGAUGGCUGUUAACUGAACUCGAUCGAGCGAUUCCUUCGCUACUGCUGCUAACUGAAGCUGAUCGAUGCUGCCUCUGGAUGAACAGUGUGCGUUGCUGGGGGGUUUGGAUGAACAGUUCCCGGUGGGGGUGGAUGAACAGGACCCCGUGGUGUUGCCUCUAGAUGAAUAGGACCCCGAUCGAUCGAGCCGGUUGGGGCUGGAUGAACAGGACCCCGUGGAGGGCAGGAUGAACAGGACCACCCCGUGGAGGGAAGAAUGAACAGUAGACGGCGGAGGGCUAGAUGAACAGUAGCCCGUGGAGGGGUGGUUGAACAUGAGCCCGUGGAGAGGGAUGGUUGAACAGUAGCCGGUGGAGUAGCGCGUGGUGGAGGCUGGAUGAACAGGAGCCCAUGGAUGAACAGUCGCAGGUGGAGGCUGGAGGAGGUCGACGGUGGAUGAACAGUAGCCCGUGGAGGCUGGAGGGGGUCAACGAUGGAGAUGAACAAUGUCCCGUGGAGUCCCGUUUUGCGGUACGCCACACCCCUCCCGAUGAACAGGGCCCCUGUUUCGACCGUAGCGCUCCAACGCAAGUCCGUUUCCUCCGUUUUGCGGUACAACACACCCCUCCCGAUCAACAGGACCCCCGUUUCGACCGUAGGAGGUCCGUUUCCUCCGUUUUGCGGUAUGCCAGACCCCUCCCGAUGAACAAGAUCCCGUUUCAAACGUGGCCGGUCGAACACAAGGCCGUUUCCUCCGUUCUGCGAUACACCAGGCCUCGUUUCCAUCGACUGUUCCGUCCAAGCCCUCCCGAUGAACACGACGAGGCAUUCCGUUCCGACCUAGCCGGUUGGCUCCCACGCGUUCCGUUGCCUCCUGAUGAACACGACGCAUUCCGUUGCCUCCCCAUGAACACGAUGCAUUGUGUUGCCUCCCCAUGAACACGACGACGAUGCUGUUUCUCCGUUCCGACCCAGCCAUGUACAUGAGCCCUGCCGUACGUAUGCGCGAGUAGGCAUUCGAGACCCCGCCCGUAUGUACACAUACGUGGCCGUAUUUUCUUUCUUGCACCCUAGCCGUUGUACGUACGAGUACAUGCUACGUGCGUGCCUCUACUACGACACGUACGCGCCUCUACUACGACACGUGCGCGCCUCUACAUCCACCAGUAUAUAUGUACGUACACGUUCGCGACCAGAAUGACAACGCUACGUACCCUUCGACCAGGUGGGUCCCGACUGUCAGGCACUUCCUUGCCUGCGAAGAUGUAGCUGGUGGGUCCCAGCAGUCAGGGGGGCGAAUCGUUUUUUUUUGCCCGGACGCACUUCCUUGCGUGCGAAGAUGUAGCUGGUGGGUCCCAGCAGUCAAGGGCAAACGUUUUUUUUCACAAAAUACAGUGGCCCGUCCGGUGGGUCCCAGCUGUCAGGUGGAGGAAUAAUUAUUUUGCACAAUAAGGAGGCACUUCCUUGCUGUGGUCGUGGACCCAGCUGUCAGCCUCUCCACAUACAGUCCACGUCCGAUGGAAGCCGUUCCUUGACCACGUUGACCACGCCGCGCCGAGAGCACCAGGGCGGUGGACGAUGGCGAGGCCUAGGAAGGGGACGACGCGGAGCCGGGGAAGACGCGGCAGUGGAUGCCCACGCGUAGAGGAGUACGAGGGUUCACUGGUUCGCUGUGGUGUGAGGCUGCCGUCACCGCAGAAUAACAGGGGGUGUGGUUGAGUAGAGGGAUGGCCUGGCCAGCGGUGGGAGUAGUAGGAGGCAGUGAGGCCUCUGCCGCAUCGCAGACGGUCACGGGAGGCAUGAGCACGAGGCACGACCGGCGCUGGUUUGGGCGGCUGGAGCAAGAAGACCAGAGGUUGAAGAAGCACUACGGCCAUUGGAUGGACAUCGUACGGUCACUGGAGCUAGAAUCGUGCAUAUUGAAUAAGUUGACACAACCCUCCGUCCCCGUCAACUUAGUAGGCCCACAAGUCAGCCUGCCACUAUACUGGGUCCCAGCUAACAGGGGGAGUAUUCUUUUUUUGUGCAUAAUAAGGAGGCACUUCCUUGCGUGCGAAGAUAUAGCUGGUGGGUCCGAGCUGUCAGCGGCGGUAACAUUUUUUUCACGAAAUACAGAGGCCCUUUCGGUGGCUCCCUGAUGUCAGGUGGAGGAAUCAUUAUUUUGCGCGUAAUAAGGAGGCAUUUCCUUGCGUGCGGCCAUGGACCUAGCUGUCGGCCUCUCCACGUACAGUCCACUUCAGAUGCAUGUCGGUCGUUGACCACGUUGACCAGGCCACGCCGAGAGCACCAGGGCGGUGGACGACGGCGAGGCCUAGGAAGGGAACGACAUGUAGGCAGGGAAGACUCGGUAGUUGUUUCCCACGCGGAGGGGAGUACGACUGUACGAGGGUUUACUGGUUCGUCUGCCGUCGCCGGAGAAUAACAACAGGUGUGGGUGAGUAGAGGGAUGGCUAGGCCAGCGAUGGGAGUACGGUCGAGCGGUGAUGCCUGCGCGGCAGCACAGCCGGCCGCGGGGAGGAGGGAGCAGGCAGUCCCGCCGGCGCUUGUUUGAGUGGCUGGAGCAAGAAGAGAGAGAUUGAAGAAGCACGGCGGCCGUUCGAUGGACAUCCAACAGUCACUGCUUGUGCGUCAACCCUUUUUUAGGAAAGCCUCAAAUCUAUGGAAAACAACAUACAACCCAUCUGCCAUUAUUUCUAAUAAUUUACAGCCCAUUUGCUAAUUCUUAAGGUUUUUUUGGAGCCCAUAUUCUUUUUGUUAGCAUUAUAGCCCAUAUUGUGGCCACGGUUAAAAAAUUAUACGAAAUUUUGCAUAUUUCGGUGCGGUCCGAACUGUUUUUAAUCCCGAAAUUUCAACUCACAUUCAAACUGAUUUUAAAAAUAAAUGUAUAUAAAUAUAAAAUCCAACAAAUUCUCCACGCAUAAAAAUUAAUGUAAUUUAAAAUCUCAAAAUGAAAAAAAAGAUAUUUGAAACUAAUUGCCGGUUUGAUGUGUUUUAAAAAUGAACAACCCAUUUCUCAUUACUGAUAGGCCAUUUUCUCGGCCAGCCGAAUGAAGCUCUCCUCGUCUUGAAAGAUUUGCAGCCCAACAGGCCUGACAAAGCGACUUACUUGGCAAAUCACAAAAAACUGGGCUGUGGCCGUGGACCCAGCUGUCAACCUCUCCACGUACAGUACUCUUCCGAUGGAAGUCGGUCGUUGACCACAUUAACCACGCCGCGCCGAGAGCACCAAGGCCGUGGACGACGGCGAGGCCUAGGAAGGGGACGAGCGGAGCCAGGGGAGAGGCGGCAGUGGAUGCCCACGCGGAGAGGAGUACGAGGGUUCACUGGUUCGGCUGCGGCGUGAGGCUGCCGUCGCCGCAGAAUAACAGGGGGUGUGGGUGAGUAGAGGGAUACCCUGGGCCAGCGGUGGGAGUAGUAGGGGGCGGUGAGGCAUCCGCCGCAUCGCAGACGGCCACGGGAGGCAGGAGCACGAGGCACGACCGGCGCUGGUUUGGGCGGCUGGAGCAAGAAGACCAGAGGUUGAAGAAGCACUACGGCCGUUGGAUGGACAUCGUACGGUCACUGGAGCUAGAAUCGUGCAUAUUGACUAAGUUGACACAACCCUCCGUCCCCGUCAACUUAGUAAUGAAAACUGUGUAAUGUAUAAUGAUAGGGAGAGUGUGACACUUCUCAAGGGAGACGUCGAGAGACCAUGUUUGCGAGGAUAGGAGAAACAUGAAGUGAGCGUGCGGGUGAGCUGGAGAAAAGAGAGUGAUAGCUACCUGAAGGAGCAUGCAUGCGAGAGAGAUGGGCGUGAAAGGAGUGAACAAAAAAGGGAUUCAAAUAUUUGAAUUCGAGAUGAUGAUACAUGUAAUCCAUACUCGAACCAAAAUUGAUCUAUCAAACAUGCAUACUCAUAUGAAUUCACGCACAUCUAUGUUAUUUAAUAUGUAGAUAUUACUGGUCCUUACAUUUUAGUAGAACAUAAUUUGGUUAAAUUUUUUCGAAUUCAACCUUAAGAUUUCGAGAUCGUUGUAUUUGUAAAUCAUAUUAUACAUAUAAAGGAGCAGAAUUCUUUGUUGUGCUUUUGAAAGUAUAUAUAAAAAAAUGAUGUAUAUAGAAUGUAAUUCCAAUUGAAAAUGGAUCCCGCCCAAAAAAAUAGAAUACAAACGGGAUUCGAAUUGAGUUGGCACGGUAAACGUGCACUCUGCAAAAUUUGAACGAAGCGGGGAAAGUCGCAGUAACCGCCCGACCAAAAUCUGCGAGAUGGAAAUCACUACUGCCUAUCCCUGCCACGCAAAGCCUAUCUGCUGGAUUUCUAUAGGUUUCGAUAGGGGUAGGUUUGUAAUUUCACCCAAACGUGACGUAACCGCCUCUCACCCGGAUUCAUACACGGUGGGUGCCAAAACACAGUGUGUCCUCGGCCGAAAUCGACCCCCGCCACGAUUCAUAUUCAUACAUGGUGGGCGCUAAAAACAAACUCUCGUCGGCAAAUAUUCAGUGUAUGCGAGAUUACCGUCCUAUCCCCAACCGACUAAUGUUGCUGUGAUGUAGUAGAAAUUUGAAACGGGGGCUAAGUUUGUAAAUUUCGUUGCAUUUGAGACAAGAGCGCCCUGAAUACAUGGUUCCCCCUUCCUCUCUACCUCCCUUUUCCCCAUUCGUACUCCGUGGGCGCCAAAACACCCUCUCCACCCCACCCUCCUCCGUCCGCCGCCGUCCGCCACCCCAUCCACCGCCGUCCUCCUCCACCAUGCCGGAGCUGAUACCCCGACGCUGCCGUCCAUUACAAGAGAUCGACCUCUCUCAUAGACGGCUUCGGACCGGGAUCCUUGCAUCCCGUCCUCUCGCUUCAUCCCCGCCGUCGUCCACCUUGCCGGCGCCGCUCCUACGACCGUCUCGUCCACCGCCUACCCUCCUAGAUCUGCUUCCACGCCGCCGCCAGCCAUCGCUACCACAACACCGUCAAAUUCUCAGCAGAUGCGUACACGGCGCCACACCAAAGGCAGUACUCUUUCGUAUCUGCUCAACUUAUUUAUCGCAGCAAGAAAAUAGAUCGCCACUGCUUUACUCUGAUUUCUUGUCUUGGUUGCGAAGUUGCCUUUGUCCGGUUUGCACCUUCAGAUCCGCCAUGGCACGCUCAACACUAUACUGCCAAUGCUUAUGGUUUUCCCUUUUAUAUUCCACACUAGUUAAAUCACAGUAGACUAAAUUUCAAAAUUGGGUCAGUCGAUUUUUCAGAGCUCGCCGGAGUUCACCGGUGCGAUCGAAGGGGCUCGGGUGGUUGUGGGGCCUCGCCGAACGAAGAAAACUUGACGCGGGUGGGGGUUGGGGCGGGGGUGGGGGUGGGGUGGCGGAGGAACACAGGCGGUGGGGGCCGGUGGUCCGGCCGGCGGCCCGUGCGGUGUUCUGUAUGGGAAGAAUCAGAGACGAGGAAGAAAAAGGGUUAGGAGACGUAGGAUCUUCAUCCAACCGCCUGAAAUGGUCGAGAGACAGCUGGGAGUUGCAUUCUUAAUGCGCUCUGGUUCAUCAUGUGUGGGCACUUCGCAACCAACAUUUUAUUAUCCGAAAUCUGCUUGCUCUUCUUUACCAUGUUCCUCUUCCGUUCUUCUUUAAUAUGUACUCUCUCCAUUCCAAAAUACAAGUCUUUGCAUAGAUUCCACCAUGGACUACAUAUGGAGCAAAAUGAGUGAAUCUACACUCUAAAAUGUAUCUGGAUACAUCUGUAUGUGAUCCAUAGUGGAAAUCUUUACCAAGACUUAUAUUUUGGAACGGAGGGAGUAUGAUAGUAGUACAGUAUGUUCCUUGUACUGAAGAUGAGCAGGGACAUUUGCAGUGUAGAGGUCUAUACGGUCGGUUGUGAUGGACACUUUGAGCCUCUUUGAUUCGUAGGAUCUUGUAAACAUAGGAAUAGGAUUUGUAGUGGCCUGCCCACUUGAAUCCUAUAAGAAUAGCAAGGAAAUGCGGGGAGCUGUGUCGCCUUUGAGAGUUACACUGAUAUUAACAGUACCGCACCUUCACUUGAAGAGAGCUGGUAUCCGAAGCCUUUCUAGCCGUACCGGCAAUACUAGCACAUAUAUUCCAGCAAGUUCCACUUUGCUGAUUUUACACUGAUGCUUAAGGUUUUCCCGUUAUAUCUACACUAUGAUCUGUGUAGCUGCUUUGUGUCGCACUAGCAGCAGUCCACUCUUGAAGCUAAACACUGCAAUGACUUACAAAAUUGGCACCAAGGCAUUGAGUGCCAUUCUGGAUGCAAUGAAACUCAUACGCUCCCCACCUGUUGAUUCUUGUUCAGAAUAUGAUCCUAAUGACUAUUCUAACCUCGAGGAGUCAAAGGCAGAUGGCCUGUCCUGUUCACCCAUCAAGGUGCCUGUUCUAAUUUGGCAAUGUUUUAUUAAUUGCGGGUAUCUUGCAUAUGUUGUCUUGCAUUUCUUCUACUUUGUUGCACCGCCAUCUGCUUAGUUUACUCAUCAUAUAUGUCGAGAUGCCAUAACCAUCCAUUAUCAAUACAUAUUCCAUCUGUCAUCAUACCAUGUUUUUCCACUCAAAUGUUGUUCUUGUGCAUCAGACAUCAAAAAGGAAGAGGGUGAUUGCUGAACCUGAAGGAGCACCAGAAAAGUCCUUGAAAAACAUGGUGGUGCCGGAGAAAUCAGACAGCACCCCACUUAUAUUGGUUUUACAACCAGUGACACAAAACGUAGGACCGACUCCAGCAGACUCUACCCAUACUUCACUGGCCACACCAUUAGCCCCACCACACAGGACCUGCACUCCAGCAAAAGGUAUACCGAUUUCAUUUGCCAUAGCACCAGCUGUACCACAGAAAAAUCCCACUCCAGCAAAAAGUACAGCAAGUCCACCGGCCGAAGACCUAUCCCAACUACAGAGACGGCCAAUUCCUGCAGAUUGGAACCCCAUUCCAUUUAUUCCCAGUUUAAAAGACAAAGCUUUCAAUGUUGUUAGGGACUACGUGCAUAUAUUCCCAUCAUGGGAAGAUUAUUGUGAAGACAAACACCAUUUUCACAUCUUCCUGUCCAACUUACGUGUAAGUGCUAUUAUUCAUGGUUAUUAUUUUCCUGUUUUCUGCUGAUUGAACACAUCAAUGUUUACAUUACAUUGUUGUUACUAGGCGAGGGUCAAUCUGGAUAGUCAUGACAAGCAAAGCUUGGUUGUGCUUUUCAAGGAGGCAUUGCAGCAGUAUCGGUGUUACCUGAGGAAAUCACACUUUGAUGGCAAGUCUAUAAACGAAUUUCCGGUGAAGUCUCCUGUCUAUGAAAUCACAUGACAAUUUGAAUUUCUACUUUUCCGCAUGUGCCUUACGGAUCUUUUUUGCAGGAAAUCUGCUCGAAGAAGAAUUCCGGUUUGACAAUAACGACAUGAUAUCGCAAAUAUGCUGCCCGCUGCUUUGCUCUUGUUAGUACCUGUUGUCAUGUAUCACUGUACUUGCAUACAUACCUGGUUCAUUAUCUGACAACAUUAUGCAUGAUAGCUUGCUUAUCAAUUGUUCGCUCCAAAUUAUCUGAUCUGUAUGAAUGGUUACAUUAGUGUAGAAUAUAUCCAAUGCCAAUGUUUUUAGCUCUGCAUUGUUCUUGUAAGUACAUGCUGUCCUUUAUCAGUGUACUUAUAAUGACAGGUAGUUGUUCAUGUACCAUCACUCUGCAGCUUAUUUUCCUUUGCCCUCCAUUUUCUACACAUCAGAUCUAUAUUUACUCUUACCAUAAGGUUGGUACUGAAGAAGUUUAGUUGUGCAUUGAUCUUGGCUGUACCUUUUGCAUGUAUCGCUGCACUUACAUUUAUAGCUACUUGGUUAUGUAGCAUCACUCUUCAUCUUAUCUUAAAUAUUCUCCAUUUUUUCGUAUAUUAUCACAUCUAUAUUUACUCUUAACAAAAUGUAGAAUAAAUGCAAUGGUUUUGAAGAAGAUUAUGUGGUAAACUUCUUGAAUCCCCCCCAUCAGCAUGGACAAGGCCUUUAUAGAGCCUGUCUUCACCAAUAAUGUAAGUUUGUCCAUCUCAAGCCUUCAAACUUUGUUGUAUAUAUUUGGUUAAGCAUGACUGCAAUAGCUGUUUAUUUUUGGUGUUUGCAUCAAAUUGCUUGUUUAAAGUUUAUUAUGUAGUUCAUAAACAAAAGUUUGUCCUUUCUCAAUUUAAGUUUUCAGUUGUACAACCAAGUUCCUUCUUCAUACCAUGUAAAUUAAACUAUACAGAGCAAGUGAUCUUCUUUUGCACUGCAUGUAUGCUUCUGUUCUUCAUCCGUAAUCCAGUGGUGUGGUGAACCUACCCACUACAGCACAAUGUCAUAUUCUGCAAUGUCUUAACUAUGAACAAUGUCAUAUCAUUAUACUAUUAUUUAAACUGUCUCUUCAUUUGCCAAUCUGAAAUCGUAUAAAUUGAUAGCACACUAACCAUUGAUACUUAUGAGUUCUUGAUUUGUAAUCCAGUGGUGUCGUGAAGCUGCCAACUCCUUCACAAUGUCAUUUGCUGCCAUGUCUUGACCUGAACAAUACCAUAUUGUGUUAAUGCAAUUUUAAAAUGUGUCUCUUUAUUCGUCAGUAAGAAAUGUGAUGAAUUGUCAGCACUGAUACUUUUAUGUGCAAAACCUUUCAUCUAUCUGCUUGUUUAUCUUUCAGAGUGAGGAAGAUAUAAGUGUUGAACAAGCGCGGUCUCAUCAUCUUGCUCAACUGCUUGCGCUGCAGCUCCCCAGCAGGGCUAACCUUUCUUCAACUCAAUUGAAGUGCUGUCGGUUUUGUAUAUUAUUUUGUUGGCAUGUUUAUUUGCACUGGUGGCGAUCUUUGAUGCCCAGUGUAAGUAAUCUGCUGUCUGCUUGUGCUUUAUUAUCAUAGUGGCGAACUUUGAUGCCUAGUGGACGUAAUAUGCCGUAAUUUCUUUAUUGUAUAGUCUAGGUUUUUUCUUAUGCUGCAGUUAUUUUACUGUAUAUAUAUCCUGUCUUCGCAGUAAACCGGCCAAACCGUAAAAUUACGGUACAUAAUCGAGCCGUCAUGCAAUCACGAUGUAGGUUGGGACUGAAACGUGCCGAACAGCUCACGGGCCGGCAGCAGCCCGAAAUGAACCCCGACCCAUGAUUGUGCGAAUCAAAUCACGGGCUUUUAAUAGGCCAAAAUUGUCUCGGUCCUCGUUUGGCCCAAUCAGAUAUCGGCUGCGAGCAGGCCGGAUGCAAACCGGGCCGUAGUUAGGCCCAACUAUAUGACGGGCUUUUAACAGGCCGAAAUUAAUAUAGGGCCAAAAUGUUAAACAGGCCCUUAACAGGCCAAAACUAAUAUCAGGCCGAAUUACUAAGUGGGCCUUUAGCAAGUGGGCCCAAAAGCAUAGUGUCCAGUUGACGGGCCGAAUCAGAUAUGGGCCAUAAUUGAGCCCGAAGCCUCUUAAAGGGCCGGACCUGAUCUGGGCCGUAAUUUGGCCCAGAACGUGGUAGGCUUUUAACGGGUCGGAUCUCAUAUGGGCCACUAUUAGGCCCGGAGGGUAGCAGGCCAUUAAUGGACCGGAUCAAAUAUGGGCCGGCAUUAGGCCAAAACAUGGCAGCCAGUUAAUGGGCCGGCCCAUUAAUGUCGGCGAAAUCUCGUGGGCCUUUAGCUGGGCCGGCCCAUUAUGAUCCGCAAGAAUCUUGUGGGCCUUAACCUGGGCCGGCCCAUUAUGGCACACAAAAAUCUUGUGGGCCUUUACCUGGGCCGGCCCAUUAUGGCCCGCAAAAUCUUGUGGGCCUUUAGCUGGGCCGGCCCAUUAUGGUCCGCAAAAUCUCGUGGGCCUUUAGCUGUGCCGGCCCAUUAUGGUCCGCAAAAUGUUGUGGGCCUUCAGUUGGGCCGGCCCAUUUAAACUUGAUUGGGCCGGUCCACGUGUCAACAUAUCAUAGGCGCAUCUCGCCCAUUGGAUGAGUGACACCUGUGCCAACGCGGACCUGACACGUGUCUCCUCCAGCCAAUGAUGAUUUUACACGUGGAAAAUCCCCAUUGGUCGGGGCUGUUAACGGGGUAUCGGAUCCAAAACCCGACCCGAUAGCUUAACGGCGUUCCGUUACGGUGGACGCCACGUGUCGGUCACCCUUGACGAAAGCACUUCCGUGAUACGUGAUUUAUCGUCAUGGAAGUGGACACUUCCGUGAUGAUAAUUUUGGUAAUGUCAUGGAACACUUCUACGACAGCACAGGUAUGACUAUCUUGAUUCUGUCAUAAAUUUGUCAUGGAUGUACAUGCAUGAAAAAAAAUGCGACCUACUGUGACAAACACGUAUCAUCACGGAAGUGUAUUUUUUUGUAGUGGCCACUUCGCGCAACAACGCACGUGUUCGCCCCCUCUCCCUAAAUAUCGAUCUCGCACUUGUGCAUUCCUUCAUAGUCUCCCUCCACUCGGCCCCUCGAACCAUCUUCUAGCCCCCCACCAGAUUUUGCCACAUGUAGAAUCUAGCAGACUCCAUGGUUGAACUUGAGCAUAAUGCACAAACCUCAAAACAACAGUGGUUCUUUUUUGUUCUAGAAUCUUACGUAUCAUAACUGCCCAAACUUUUUUUCUAGUUGAAUUGCCAUUAUUUGUUUUUACUUUAUGCUUUACAACGCACAAUUCCAUGAAUCAUAAAAUAGAUUAAGGGCUUCUUUGAUUCAAAGGAUUAUCAAAGGAAUUUUGGAGGAUUCUAAUCAUUAGGAAUUUUUCCUAUCUUGAUUGUUUGAUUCGUAGGAUUGUAAACCAUAGGAAUUUUUCCAUAUGAUUCAUUUGCACUAGAUUUCAUAGGAAACAUCCCAUCCACUCAAACCUCUUUGAAAGAAUUCUGUGUUUUUUCUAUGCACAAUCAAACACUCGUACAAUCAUGUAGGAUUCAAGACGACAUUCCACUAUAAUCCCAUGUUUUUCCUAUUCCUGCGUUCUUAGCUUUUUUAUAAAAACUAAUUGAUUUUGAAUGAUAUGAACUAUAAGAAUUAAACGAAGGGCUACAUCAGGCAUAUAUGACUCAAAGCUUACAUGCUAUAGUGUGGUAUUUAUUCAUAAUUUGGUUGCAAAAUCUGAUGCGUGCAAUGCACGGGUACCUUACUAGUACUUCGAGUAUGUGCAAAACACGUAAAUUAGAAUACCAAUGGCACGCUACACAGUGUCUCUCUUAUAGUUCAUGAAGCCAUGUGGCACAUGUGGAGGCAUUGUCGCGACCUCCUUGCGUGGAUUGAUCACAGUGACGUGCUGCUGGUUCCAGAAGAAUGUACCCGUCCUCCCUGAGCCAUACUGGCGGUACAUGCACAAAGCAAAGAUGUGCACGCACGCCACGCACGCACUCAUUCCCUCGCACGCACACGUGGGUACACGGGCGGACACAAUUUUGUACCAAGAUCCACCCCAUGUGAUAAUUUGACGCGUGUAAAGUCGUUCACUUCAUUGAUGGUCAAUUAAUACAGCGUAUGCAAAUUGAGUGGACGUGAGGGCAGAAGAAAGACAUUAUUACUCCACUGCGCGCAUGCGAGUAGUUAAAUCGUGGGUUGCUAGUAGUACUUCCAUUGGCCUCCUUCGUAUUUUGUGCCAAUUUUUGACAGUAACAUAAUAUUUACGCAUUUGAGCAGUGUAGUACUUGAAAUUUAUGUUCCGCUAAACUCAUCGGGAGCCGUUUCGGGCCUCGAAACCAAAACCAUCAAUUAAUCUUUACCUUGUUCCCAUCACAUUCGAAAGCCUGCUCACACCUACUAGUAUGUACCAAACCUGAACGUGUUCCCACUAUGCAGGUAUUAGUACUAGUGCUACUUAGGUUAUAAAAAGGGGAACUACCUAACCGAAAAUUACUACCUUUCCUCCUCAUAACUGCUUCUUCUUCGUCCAUCGUUGCCAUGGACCGUGAGCAGAGCUCUAGGUCGAGAACUACUCGUAACAAGGGAGCGGCAACCAAGGCUGCGGAAAAAAAGAGAGGGCUCGCCGCCACGCAGAGACCUCGAAAGAUCUAUCACGGGCAGGCAAUGGCUCCCAGGAGCGCCCUAGCCGUGGAGGCGAACAUGCCGAGCCCGCGGAGCUGGAGUCGUUAUCCCUCGACGGCAUGCCCGAUCAGCUCAAUAAGCAGAAGGAGUUCAUCCAAGGCUUGAUGGAGUUGUUGAAGGAGAGCCUCGACGACAUGCCCGCUGAGCUCAAUCAGCAGGGUGAGUUGACCGUCGGCUUGGUGAUGCUGCUGAAGAAGAGCAUUGCCUCGGAGAAGAAUGCGACCGGCGAAAUCCUGCGACUUCGGGAGGACAAGGCGAAGCUCUCACACGAGAUCGACCUGUUGAAGGAGAAGAACGCUGGUUGGAAGAAGCUGCAUGAGAAUAGUAGUUCCUCGAUGAAGAUGCUGCAUGCCCUCGUCAUGGAACAGAAGGAGGAGUUGGCGAAGCUCCGCAUCGAGCACCCGGCUGCUGUCAAGGUACGUAAUGCGGCCGUGGAACAGAUGAUGAAGGCUCGCAUCGAGAAAUCCCGCGUCAUGGACAGAAUGAAGAAGAUGGCGGAGGAGACGCGCAAGGAGAUGGAGGUCAUGGAGGCGAUGAAGAAGCAGUUACGACUCCGCAGCGAAUUAGAUCAUUUGGGGUGAUAAUCUUCCUUCUUGUUUUGCUCCUGUGUUUCAUCUUUUUCUUCGGGUAUUUCGCCGCACGUGUCACGUUCUCUGCGAGGCAUGAAUAGAACAAUGGUUUUUUUGAGGGAAUGAAUAGAACAAUGCUAACAAUGAGAUGACUAGCAAAUUAGAUCAUUUUUAUCGCCAUAUGGCACUGGGCUGCCGUGUUUCGUGCUCCUCCGUCGCAGUACUACUCCAGUGGAAAACUUGAGUAUACCGCACGGUUCUUUCCUCCUCCUCGAUCAGGUUGUCGGCGCAUUUAUACGAGCAGUCAAAUCACAAGGCCCCGCCUUCCAGCAGUAAUGAGCCGUCAAAUCACAAAGGCCCUCGCCUCUCGUGAAACCGACCAAGCUAGACUGCCCCGCCCUCUAGCCUUUUAAAAAAUGUAUACUUUUGCACAGCAGUAGUAUCGAUGGAUUGCACCAUGGACUAAAACUUGAAAUUAAAAAAAGGUGGUACAUAUAGAGAGCGCUCGUCGCCAAAUUAUGCAUAUAGUACUAUUAAAAAGGCUAGUCACAAUAAUGGUGUCCAGCACAACCCACCCCUCAAAUAAAACUAAGAGGGUGCUUGGAUACGUUUUAGUCCCAUGACUAAAAGUAGUGGGACUAAAACAUGCUAGCCUCACCCAUGCUUGGAUCCAAAUACUAAAAAGGCUAAAAUCAAGUUAAUGAGCAUUUAUUAUCCUCCAAACCCUCCAAUCCAGAACUCGCCUGUGUUAAAGGAGAGGAGUUAAAUGAGUAGAGAGAGGACUAAUCCACAUUUUAGUAGGGGUACCCCUGACUAAAUUUUUUUAGUCUCAAGACUAGUUUAGCCCCUCUUUAGUCAGGGGUUCUUGAAACUUUAGCCUCUUAAAGAGACUAUUUUUAGUCAGACUAAAAUAAGUCCCUUGGAUCCAAGCACCCUCUAAGCAUCCUGGUUUGACAAAACUAAGCACCCUGAAAUUCUUUGACAACUAAACUGCUGGCUAUAUGAUGUUGGCCAUAUAUAUUGUACGUACAUAAUGUGAAGAAACGAGUGGUAGUACUAUACCAACUAAAAGAUGAAAUGUAAGAAAUACUAGUAUGCACGUACUGAAGAGUUAAAGUAACGAGAAGAAACAGAACAUAGUUCUGCUGGGGGCUCAGCACAACACACCCCUCAAAUUAAAUUAAGCACACCUGAAAUUAAACUUUGCAACUAUUCCGGUAGACACUGCAUUAGAACCACCAUGAGCAACGACACUGCCACCUUACUCGGAGUCCUCGUCCACGUCCUCGACUUCGUCCUUGUCCCUCUUCCUCUUGGCCGAUACUUCUUUGCUUGAACCGCACACUUGGCUGUUGCUCUUCAUCCAACCCUUGUAGAUAUUGAAGCAAAGGUAGCCAUCCAUUGCAGCGUAGUGGAUGUGGUCUAUAUCUAGUACAUUCUGCUGCCAUGCAUGACGAUGAAACAUGUAUGGAGGUUUCUCCAGUUUACCGUACGAAGGAUGAACCAUGGCUCCUGCCAGGGUCAGCAUUGAAGGCUGACGAGAGGACACCAGCCGAUUCUUCUGGAGGUCGAAGGUGUUGCCUACAACGAGGCCUAUCCGACGCAGGACUUCUUUGUCGUUACCAAAGUCUACAGUAACGAAUUUGACUAGAUUGCUCUCGAGGAAGUCCUUAAAAUCCUGGCACUCAACGUCGGCAUGGCAUAUGUGGUAGACCAAGCAUAAGUCAUGCACGCAAACCUAGAUCACGGCGGGCUUCUUCCUCUUUUCGUCCUUUAGAUCCUUCUCUCGUCCCUGGACGGUGGUGUACUCAACAUUUAGCCCAGCGACCCACUCAUCAUCUGAGUCUUCGAACAUGCGUCUGAAGCGAGAAAGGCAUCCUUUCACCGUCACGGAAGAACGGGUGUAGAUGACGUCGAACUCAUCGCCGGUGAUGGUUCUAACCUUGUACUCACCGCCGAUCGUGGAGAUUUGGGACGCCAUGGAUUUGGGAGGAGGGUUAGGAUUAGUGGAACUGCCGUAAUGUGAAUGGACAGGACGACUAGGAGCGAACCGCCGUAGUAUUGAAGGACGUGCGGGGACGAGUAAGAGCGAACUGCCAGCAUGCGAACGGCAGGGUAGUGGCUUUCCAUUCUCCCAUGAUACGGGCUUCCGAGAGCCCUUGGAUCUGAGACCGAACGGAUGCAUGGCGUGAUUCUAGACCUAUGGGUGAAUAUCCUAGCCUAGAGGGUUAUUCUGCAAAUUUUCAGCAACUUAGCAUGCGACCGUUUGAUCUCAGAUCCAAGGGCUGCCAGCAGCCCGUAUCAUGGUCGCGCCUACCACGACCAUCGCGUCGCUCGCGCCCUUGGAGAUUUAACACGGUGCGUUAGGCUAUCUGAUGUUGGCAUGUCAUACAUAGUCAUCACUUAGUCACUCAUACUACAACAAGAUUGGCUAUAAGGUUGGCUAUAGGUGUAUUUUUUACUCCUCUCUAUCUCUUUCUUCGUACUCCCUCCGUCCCAUAAUAUAAGAACUUUUUGACACUAGUGUAGUGCCAAAAACGUUCUUAUAUUAUGGGACACAGGGAGUACUAGUAUUUAUUGCAUUUGCCAAGGAGUGACCUCUUCCAAUGAAAUGGUGUUGCUAAGUUUGCUUCAUUUAAUUAGCUAUAGACUCAAAAUUGUCUUUUCACCUAGGUACAUGCUCUUAGCACCAUUUCUUCCUUGGGUCACCAAACUAGUCUCUCUCUUCUUGAUUAACUUGCCACAUCAGACUUUAUGCCUAUGUGGCAAGCUUAAGCACCUGUAGGAGCAAGUAAAAGUAAGUACAAUAGUGCGCUUUACAUGGCAUUUUUGCAUAUGUGGAGGAAAGAGAGGCAAGGAAAAAGUGGAGAAGUGGGCUCUCAUGCAAGAGCCAGCCUCUACUACAUGGUGGAGCAUUGGGAGAGGCACCUAUAUGGAGGUGGUCAGGAAUUGGGAGACUCACGCCAGUCGUAGCACCGCAGUUAAAAUGAUAAUGGCAAGUCAAAUCACGGGGCCCCACCUGUCCAGCAGUAACUCGCUAUCAAAUCACACAGCCCUACGUUUGCAGCAGCCUACUCCCUCGUCUUCUCGCGUCUCUAUCGAACCGACUAGGCGGAACUGCCCCGCCGCCUACCGCGCAGGAAAAGCCCCGCCCUCGACUUUUAAAUAGUAUACAGUAUACUAAUUUUGUAUCCAUGGAUUGCGCCCGCGCCAUGGAGCAAAGCGUCUAGAAAACGGCAGUACACAUGUACGGAGUAUACAGCACGCCCGUUGCGUUCGCGUCGCACCCCAGACGGUCGGUCGGUCUGGCAUGCUGUUCUCCGAAUGGAACGCACGUCAUAUUGCGUUUGCACACACAUGUGCGGAAAUUGAGAACCGACCAUAGGCACACUCCCCGACCCCGCAAGUCGGGUGACUUAAUAGAAGAGGGAGACGAGCGAUAGUACUAGAGAAUUGUUGUACUACGUUGGUGCCUGGACGAUCCCUGCAAGACACGGAAGAUCAGUUCGUCCAUGCAUGUGACCAGACUCCAGCAGACACACCUGGAUUGGCUAUCGUGUACAUAUCGUGCAGGUUGUGUUGUACAUGGCUGUAGUUGUGGUGAGAAAUCUAAAAAAAGGUUUCUUGUCAUCUCGCAAAAUUAGGUGUCAUGUGCUUCGGAUCACUGCGAGGGUUAAACAGCGACAACUGAGUUGGGCUAGUCAUUGGGGGCACAUGCACGAACAAUGACUACUCGGCUGCCAUCUAGGUCAAGCCGGCUAUGUUAAUUAGGACAUCUAUCGACGGACCCCCUUUUCUACGAGUUUAUCUUUAAUUUGAGCUAUGUUCCUCGUCUAGUUUGUCCGUCGGGAUUCAUGUUGUCUCCUUUGGGCAGUGAGGUUAUGAUUUCUUGUCAUGUGGUAUUUUUUCAUGUUAUAUGUUAUAAUCCGGCGCUUCAGACCAAAAUGACGACAACUGCGCCUCCGGGCCACGUGCAUGAAGACUUCUCGACAGUCAUUGACGAGGUCAAGCCGGCUCCGGUAGACAAAAGAAAACUAGUACUACUCCACUAUAUAGGCAGGAGCCUCCGCGCUUGCUUGCUAGUGUUGCUCUCUUCACACUGUCUCGGCCUCUCCAGAUCUAAACACGACAGCAGUGGCCACACUCUCUCUCUCUCUCUGCUCGUCGCUGGUUACAGAUCCAGCCGGAUCCUCUCCGCCGGGGAAGGUGAGAAGGUGCAACGUUCACGCGGUCGUCCUUCGCGACGGCUCUUACCCACUGCUGGGCGCGUCCCGAUCAGCCUGCCUUGCCAUUCUCUCCCAAGCACCGCUGGCGAGGGAGGGCCUCCAACCCCUUCUUCCUCGCUGUCGUAGUGUGCGCAGAUCCGGCCUCCCGCCGCCCACCUAGCGACAUCCCGACGACCAUCAGGUAUAACUUCCUUCGAAACCAGCCUUGCUCUACUUCCCGAGCUCCUGCCGUCGCUGCAUUUGUAUCUUUUACUAUUUCUCAGGCCCCCUCGUAGAUAGGAUCGAUCGGCUGUUCGAAAACCACCUAAUUUUUUUUACGUUUAAGAGGUAAAACUAGUUCAUGCACUCGAAUCUAGUACUACUUGGUUCAAACAAGGAAGAAAAGGGGUGGGGUGGGGGAGGAUUUGUUACCUGAAUCUAGGACUUGGUCGAAAGAGGAAAUAAUGGGGGCGAAAAGUAGCAGAGACUGGCUAUCCAACUGGUCUCUAGGUCUAAUAGGGAAAUAAAGGGAAACGCAGUACAAACUCAAUAUAAACCCGAUCUAUUGGUUGAAAAAGGAAAGAAAGUGGGGACUGGGGGACAAGUCAACAGAGUAAGUCCAGCACUAGAUUUGCUAGCCUCACACAAUAUAAGGUGGCUAUACCGAACAAAAAUGGGACCAACCCAGAUUUCCUGUUCUGAUGUUUGUUGCCCUGAGCCACUCUUAUGUAAUGCCACUGGUAAAAUGUAGCAGUCGCACUGUUAAAAGUAAGGACACGUUAAACCAAUGUUGUUUUCAAUGUAAUGCCUCCAGUAAUAUGAAUCAAUGGCACUUCUUUACAUGUCCUGCUAAAAUUUCCCAUUAAGAUAAGUUGGUUCUUUUCGUUAGAAAUGCAACUGUCCUGGUCCGCCUACUCUUCCGUGCCCAAAGUAAUGUCGUAUUUAAUGGUUGUCAUAGUUAAUCCUAAUGCCCACACUAAUAUCUAGCAAUGCCAGUGCUUUAGAAAUUGCUACUGUCCUUGUAGGAUUGCCAUUCAGAUAAGGAACAUGCUUCUUUUCAUUUGAUGCAAGUUUCAUCACUUGUUAGUCACCCUCCCUUCCACCUUUUUUGUGCAAACAGAGAUAUACAUUUCACGCUCGAUCUUAGUUGAACUGCACAAAUGAUAUCCAAAUUAUAGUUGAGCAUUCCAGGAGCUUCACACCAACCUUGAUGUUGCUCAAUUUUAUUGCAACUAAUGAAGAAGAAGCUCUGUGGGUUUCAUUUUCUGAUGGAAAUGGAACCGGGGCUGGGGCCCUUUUCUUAAAUUUUUUUGAAGAAGCUGCUAGCUCAUGGGACAUUGCUUCAUUUUAGGUGGACUGCACCAAAAGGUCCCAUGAAUUGAAUCAUCCAUGUUGGUGAUUGAAAGAGCCAGCUUCAGCAUCCCAGUCUAAGCACCCGCGGCCUCCAUCCUUGCGACGCACGGUACACCUCGUUUGCCACCUGCUCGACCCUAGUGUCACUGAUAAAAUGAAGUAAUAAUAUAGUUAAAAUAGAGCGAGUGUCAUCUCUAUCAUUUCAUUUCCAAUGUAGAUAAAGAAAGUGCUUCUCUUUGUUAAUGUAUGUUUCAUCAACUAGUCCCAUUGUUAAUGUUUAAGCGUUUCUGCAAACUGGGGUGCUUAAUUUUAGUUGAUAUGUACAAAAAUAGAGAUUUGAAUGUCUCAAGGCGCCUCCUUGUACUACCGCUGUACACUGAUGUUCAUCACUGGCAGAAGGUGUGUCUGGGAGACUUGGGACGAUGUCCAGUAUGAGGCGUCGCAGGGCCCAUCUCGCCCUCACAGCAUGGCAUACUAUGAUACUAUUGCAAUAUUUUCUUCUAUUUAUUUUGUGUGUUUCAUCAACUAGUGCCACUAUAAUGUAAUCACGCUUUUUCAUUAUCUAUGCAAACAGGGUUAUUCAGCUGCAUUUUGGUGGAACUGCACCAAAAUUACGUAUGGAACUGGCAUAUAUGCAGAGUGCGAGGUGUGCCAAGUAAAAAUUACCGACACAUGCUGCAUGCACGCAUUGGCAUCCACCACCACCAGUGGGAUGUGUGGCGCUCUCUGUGGACGGGUCUUUCUCAGCAGCAAAUCAUCUAACCAAAUACUAGUAGCUUAUAUUGGCAGUUUUCUAGGGAGUACUCUUUUCUGAAAGAAGCACCAAUCUAUUUUUCUUUAUUUGUAAUUGUGUCACAAUUUUGACCCAAAGGUCCAGAGCUAUUUUAGAGUGAUUGGCGUAGUACUCGGAGACUGAUUGUAAGCAUUAUUUUCAUUAGCUGUCACACUAAUUGUAAGCAUGAGCAGGUGGAAGAUUAGGUUAGUGCGAAGCUUACCUUAAACCCUACUGCCGCCGUUGAAACGAGGCGAGCAUCGAGGGAACCGUGGAGAACGGCGGGGAAGGGACGUCGCGCCAUCCGGCCUCCUCUUGCGGUGGGAGAACGAAUAGUCCUGUGGCUCCGGCUGGCUCUGCACCCUCACGAACGGCACACCAUACUCGAUCGAUUCGUUAUCCUCUGGGUGCUCGACCUUCGACCUGUACGCCCACCACCUCCGCCUGACUGUCGCCUCGGGCGAAUCUGUCUGCUCCAUCACCCAGAGGAGAUACUCGAUGAACUCGGAGGACUGCGGCGUGACUGCCGCCGAGGAGUACAUGUACAUCGCCGCCCUCAUCGCCGCCGUCUCGCUCUUUCGCAUACAUUGCCACAUGGCCCGCACCGUCCUCGAAAUCUCCCACUCAUUGUCAAACGAACUAAGGAUCUCCUUCAACCUGGCUAACUUUGCCUGGUCGCCGCCGGCGAUCUGCCUGAUUCGCUGCUGCAUCCUCUCCAUAGAUGUCCUUCUGAGUGGUCCGGUGCUAGCUUUGGAAGAUGGGAGGAGAGACGGUGGUCUUGCAAUAGAGAAGAGGGAGAGGCGAGAUGGUGGUUUUGGAAUGGAGAUGAUGGAGAGGAGAGGAAGUGGUUUUGCAAUGGAGAAGAUCAGAAGAGGGAGAGGCGAGACGGUGGUUUUGGAAUGGAGAUGAUGGAGAGGAGAGGAGGUGGUUUUGCAAUGGAGAAGAUCAGAAGAGGGAGAGGCGAGACGGUGGUUUUGGAAUGGAGAUGAUGGAGAGGAGAGGAGGUGGUUUUGCAAUGGAGAAGAUGGAGAGGAGCGUGCGGCAGCGAUUUAGGAUUGGACGAGAGGGCCGGCGCGCUGUGACUGGAUCAAAAUCAAAAUCAAUUUACCCUUCAAUUAAGAAAGCGACCCCACAUUAACUAGUCUCCCUUUUAUUCUGGGUCAUAAUUGACCAUGAUUUUCACACAUAAAAUAUAUGUUAUACGUUGCAAAAAUAAUAUAAUUUGAAAGUACAUUCAGAUACGAACCAAUGAUACAAAUUUUGGUGACAUGCAUUCACAUUUUGCUUGUCAAAUACAGUACGUGGUCAAACUUUGACCCAAAAUACGCAAAACAACAAAAAAAUACUUCCAAGACCAGCGCCGCUCUUCCGCUCUUCUCCUCUUAAACCACCGCCGCUCCUCUCCUGUUCUAAUCUAAAUGCAGCGCCGCUCCUCUCCUCUUCCAUUUCAAAACCACCGCCCCUCCUCUCCUGUUCCAGUCCGAAACCAGCGUCGCUCCUCUCCCGUUCUAAUCCAAAAUCAGCACUGCUCCUCUCCUCUUCCAUUCAAAAACCACCGCCGGCGAGUGAAGGUGCUGUGGAGAAGUAGAUCGAUGGAGGAGUACAACUGAUACGUGAGGAUCGCAGACGGCGACCCUGUGAAGCUAGCUAGGAUGUUGGAGAUACAGUCUUGGUUUGACAACAAGGACCAACUAGCAGCGACGACGACAUCCAUGGCCAAAUAUCUGCAACAGAGCGAAAAGGCGGCGAUACUCCCGGAGGGAGUCGCGCCGGAGUACAUAGAGCUGCUCCUCUGGGCCAUGGAGCAAACAGAUUCACAGAAUCCGAUCGUGAGGGAGCGGUGGUGGGAGUAUCGAUCCCAGAUGGAGCAUCCACCAGAGAUUGAAGGAUCGAGCAUCUACAGGGUGCCGUUUGUGAGGGUGUCCUGGCAGAGCGAGCCGGUGGAGUCUUCGUCGACCGAACCCAACUGCAAGAGGAGAAAAGCAGUUGGCCCGAUGACGCUUCCCCGCCAUCGUCUCCCUCGCCGUUCACAUCGUCUCACGGGGCGGCUGUCUGUCGCCGAGGAAUAGGAGGGGGCUGCCCCCCCAGCCCAAUAGUCGGGCAGGUUGUGAAUUGUCAGGAGGAGCUUAGGGUUGUCAGUAUUUGCAGGUUGUGAAUUGUGUUUUGUGUUGUGUAUUUUGAGAGUACUUUCAGAUAUGAAUGUCUUUUGAAUUUUAGAUUUGCAGUAUUGAGCAUAUGAAGUAUUUUAUGAAUUCUAGAAAUCUAUUUUUAGCACUUAAAAAAUGUAGUUUCAUAGGAGUAUAAAAGUGCAGACAAUGUGAUUCUUAGAGAAGAGACUGCAAGUUUCAGUUUCAGAUAAGAAACUGCAAGUUCAGUUUCAGAGAAGAAACUACAACUUUCAGAGGCAGAGCAUUUAUAUUAACACGGCCUUUUCAAACAGGGUUAACAUCAUGUUGGAAGUUUUAUUCAUGGUCGAAAAUGGAACUACCAGCCAGUUAACAUCAUGCUGAUCAACAUUCAUGCAUAGCACAUCUUCAUAUGAUGCAUAGUCAAAAUGCCCACACAAUGUCGAGUGUGCGAAACACAGAGAAAACGAGGGACGAAGUUUUGGCAAGUCUUGGACGUGGUUUUGGGCUUCCCCGUCUAGGCUUUCAUUUUUAACAUGCGCAGCCCACGACCUCGGAUGGGAGGUCCAUAGGCCUGUUUGUAUUUUCUUAGGGCCGUCAUGUAUCGACCGGCCUAUGGACCUCCCAUCCGAGGUUUUAUUUUUGGCAGCCAAUUUAUGUAUUUUUUGAAGUAAACGCAGAGGUCUGUUCUAUUUUUCUAUAAAAGAAUAGGAACGCCAGGUCCAACUUAUGUUUCCCUUCUAACUAUAUUAUAUAUAUUUAAAUUAUUUUAUAUGUUAUUAUAUAUUAUUUUUAUUGUCAUCAUAUAUUUAACAGAUACUUACAUAUGUAAGAAAACAAUAUCCCACAUCUUGUUAACUUAUAAAAAUAAUUUCUUAACAAAUAAAAUCCUGGAUUGUUUUGGCGCGAAAAUCCUAGUGAUUGUGUACAAAAGCUUGGUAAGAUUUAAGGACGAAUGUAAUAAUAUCAUUUAUUAUUUAAAUAUAUUUAUAACAAAAUGCUCAGCCCCUUUUUAUUUUUUGAUAACAUUGCUGGCCCAACCCAACAUUAUAAUUAGAAUCAGCCCAGCAAAAUCGUGUAUUUCGAGAAAGUGCAAAUGGCCUGUAAUUUUUUAGGAAAUAAAAUAAAUGGGCCGCAUGGACGCUACAUUAUUUGUUCACCCAGUCCAGCUAAUGGCUGUAAUUCAAAAAAAGAGAUCAAAUUGACUGUAAAUUCUACCGCGCAAAAAAAAGACUGUAAAUUCUGAAAAAAUUGGUUGAAUACGUGCCACAUUUUUGGAGGCUGAAAUGUGGGCCAAUAGGUCGAAGCCAACGCAAGUCGUCGUCAAUUUAGUCAACAAAUGAUUCUGACAUGUUAGCCGUUGGAUUUACAUCCAACGACCGGCAUCCAUCUUCAACCUCUCGUCUUCUUCCUCCAGCGCCGCCGGGACCACCUCCCGCCUCCUGCUGCUAGCAGCUCUGCUUAGCAUGCUUCGCUAUGAAGCGCUACUCCACCGUUGGCUAGGCCAUCCCUCCACCCCUCCACAUCUCCUGUUCUUCUCCACCGACUGCCGAACCACACCGCACUAGAACUAGUUAACCCUCGUACACCUCUCCGUCUGCGAGUCUACUCCCGCGUCUUCCCAUCUCCGGCUCGUUGCUGUCCGGGGCCUCGCCGUCGUCCACCACCUUGGAUGCGCUCGGCGCGGCGUGGUCAACUUGGUCAACGAACAACACCAUCGGAAGUAGACUGUGCAUGGAGAGGCUGACAGCUGGGUCCACGGCCGCGCACAAGGAAAUGCCUCCUUAUUACGCGCAAAAUAAUGAUUCCUCCACCUGACAUCUGGGACCCACCGGAAGGGCCUAUGUAUUUCGCGAAAAUAACGUGCCCCCCGCUGACAUGUUGGACCCACCAGCUAUCUUCGGACGCAAGGAAGUGCCUCCUUAUUACGCACAAAAAAAUGAAUACUCCCCCUGCCAGGUAGAACCCAGCAUAGUGGGAGGCUGACUUGUGGACCUACCAAGUUGACGGGGACGGAGGGCUUUGUCAACUUAGUCAAUAUGAACGAUUCUAGCUCCUGUUACCGCACGAUGUUCAUCCAACGGCCGUGGUGCUUCUUCAACCUCUGGUCUUCUUGCUCCAGCCGCCCAAACCAGUGCCGGUCGUGCCGCGUGCUACUGCCUCCCGUGGCCGGCUGUGAUGCCGCGGAGGCCUCACCGCCCCUACUACUCCCACCGCUGGCCAGGACGUCCCUCUUCACACCGACACCCCCUGUUAUUCUCCGGCGACAGCAUCCUCACACCGCAGCCGAACCAGUGAACCCUCGUACUCCUCUUCGCGUGGGCAUCCACUGCUGCGUCUUCCCCGGCUCCGAGUCGUCCCCUUCCUAGUCCUCGCCGUCGUCCACCGCCGUGGUGCUCUCGGCGCGGCGUGGUCAACGUGGUCAAGGAACGACUUCCAUCGGAUGUGGACUGUACGUGGAGAGGCUGACAGCUGGGUCCAUUGCCGCAGCAAGGAAGUGCCUCCUUAUUACGCGCAAAAUAAUGAUUCCUCCACCUGACAGCGGGGACCCACCGGACGGGCCACCGUAUUUCGCGAAAAAACGUUUCCCCCUGACUGCUGGGACCCACCAGCUACAUCUUCAAACGCAAGGAAGUGCGUCCGGGCAAAAAAAAUGAUUCGCCCCCCUGACUUCUGGGACCCACCAGCUACAUCUUCGCACGCAAGGAAGUGCGUCCGGGAAAAAAAUGAUUCGGCCCCCUGACUGCUGGGACCCACCAGCUACAUCUUCGCAGGCAAGGAAGCGCCUGACAGUCGGGACCCACCUGGUCGAAGCAUACAUAGCGUUGUCAUUCUGGUCGCGAACGUGUACGUACAUAUAUACUGGUGGAUGUAGUGGCGCGCACGUGUCAUAGUAGAGGCGCGUAUGUGUCGUAGUAGAGGCGCGCACGUAGCAUGUACACGUACGUACAGCGGCCAGGGUGCAAGAAAGAAAAUACGGCCACGUAUGUGUACAUACGGGUGGGGUCUCGAACGCCUACUCGCGCAUACGUACGGCCAGGGCUCGUGUACAUGGCUGGGUCGGAACAGAGAAACAGUGUCAUCGUCGUGUUCGUGGGGAGGCAACGGAAUGCGUCGUGUUUAUGGAGAGGCAACGGAAUGCGUCGUGUUCAUGGGGAGCCAACGGAAUGCGUCGUGUUCAUCGGGAGGCAACGGAACGCGUGGGAGCCAACCGGCUGGGUCGGAACGGAAUGCGUGGUCAUGUUCAUCGGGAGGGCUUGGACGGAACAGGCGAUGGAAACGAGGCCUGGCAUACUGCAAAACGGAGGAAACGGACCUCCUACGUUCGGAACGGGGUCCUAUUGAUCGGGAGGGGUGUGGCAUACCACAAAACGGAGGAAACGGACCUCCUAUGGUCGAAACGGGGGUCCUGUUGAUCGGGNNNNNNNNNNNNNNNNNNNNNNNNNNNNNNNNNNNNNNNNNNNNNNNNNNNNNNNNNNNNNNNNNNNNNNNNNNNNNNNNNNNNNNNNNNNNNNNNNNNNNNNNNNNNNNNNNNNNNNNNNNNNNNNNNNNNNNNNNNNNNNNNNNNNNNNNNNNNNNNNNNNNNNNNNNNNNNNNNNNNNNNNNNNNNNNNNNNNNNNNNNNNNNNNNNNNNNNNNNNNNNNNNNNNNNNNNNNNNNNNNNNNNNNNNNNNNNNNNNNNNNNNNNNNNNNNNNNNNNNNNNNNNNNNNNNNNNNNNNNNNNNNNNNNNNNNNNNNNNNNNNNNNNNNNNNNNNNNNNNNNNNNNNNNNACUGUUCAAACACCCCUCCACGGGCACCCCUCCACCGUCUACUGUUCAUCCAGCCCUCCACACCAUGGGGUCCUAUUCAACCACCCCUCCACGGGCACCCCUCCACCGUCUACUGUUCUUCCAGCCCUCCACACCACGGGGUCCUAUUCAUCCAGAGGCAAGGCCACCGCUCACUGUUCAUCCAACCCCCCCCCCCAACGCUCACUGUUCAUCCAAUCGAUCGGCUUCAGUUAGCAGCAGUAGCGAAGGAAUCGCUCAAUCGGGUUCAGUUAGCAGGAGUAGCGAAGGAAUCGCUCGAUCGGGUUCAGUUAACAGCCAUAGAUCGAUCGCUCGGGUUCAGUAAUGCGUAACCUGCAGUGCAAUCGCUCGGGUUCAGUUAGAGCCCAACGCCUCGCUCGGGUUCAGUUAGAGCCAACGCCUCGCACACACGCGCGUACGUGUACGAGAGAAACGCACAUCGCUCGGCCCCCGACCUCCCACCGUAACCGGGAACUCCCCGAAAUUUUCCUCCCCCUCGCUUCUACCACGGUUUUUUCCGUCAUGGACGGCCCAAAGAAUGUCAUGCAGCUGCGUCUCCGGCCCGCCCAGGACGAAAAGCCCAUUUUCUGUCAUGAUUUUUUGUCAUAGAAGUAGGAGCCCAUUGUCACAAUUAUCAUCAUAGAAGUGUCAUAUGUAUGACAGAAAAAAAUUUCGUUCGGCCCAAAAUGUCACGGAUGUGUCUUUUUCUUGUAGUGGCUAUGCAACGCUUGUGAAUUUAAAAUAUUACCUUCUGUGCUGCCGUUUAUCAAAUCUGAGAGUUGGCCAGUCGUCGGCUUCUGCCCCCAUGUAACUAGUACUGAGGUGUUCGGGAUAAACCUGAGCACUCUUUAUCCCAAUUUUGGGUCCUUCAAAGGAGGUGUUCAGCACAGCGAACCAGGCAAUCAGACUAUAAAGCUUUAUCACUCUCACUUAGCCAUAGAAGUCUACAAUUUUAAAUUUUGGCGAAGCCCCUAGUAUUCGGAAGGCCGAAUUUGGGGUGCUAUAUACGCCUAAGUCGGGCAAGGCCGACUCCUCGCCCGAAGCGGAAAAGUCUUUAAGGACUUGAGACCUCUCGAACAGCGACCAGCUCUCGCCGCAUCAUGACAGUCAGUUUUUGGCUUUCUCUACUGAGGUGCUCGUCCGGAAGAACCGGGACACAAUCGCAGUAGUUCUCCCAGUGCUACCUUAGCCGAUAUAGUGGAACGUAAGGUACCAAAACAUGGGAGCCGGGCAAACCCAACUAUUGACCCAAGAUAUGAUUCGGAGCUGAUGCAUAUACUGCUAUAAGUUCGGGGUGCCGCACUGUCGAAAGUGUUCGGACUUCUCACACCGUAUUGAUGGGGUAUAGUGAAGCCCCCGGCGUACUGGUCGUACCAGAAUGUAUGGGUGCAAUUUGUCGUAAAUAGACAGACAAGGAAAAGGGAAGGGUAAUUCAAUAAUAGGCUAAUGCUAUGCAUUGUUAUUUAAAUAAUACGUCGAAGCGUACUAAUACAAGUAGUGCAAUAAGUAAAAAAUAGGACUAUUUGACAUGUCCUAUCCAAGGGCAAGCUGCAUAUGGGUAUUUAAAACAGGUAUUUCGAUAGUUGUCAGAGACCACCUGGGGAUUCCCUUGUACGUCUUAGCUUCUUGCCUCCUUGGUAUUUCCUUCCCGUAAUGCGUCCAGCAAUCAGACUGCCGAAAAGGGCUUCCAGAGAGUAAGGUCCUAAAAGAGAGAAAAUGAUAAAGGUAUACAGCCCCUGGGGCGGUUGAGCCGCAUUGUGGGGCGUGUCCUGGCCGUGCCCCCGCCUAUGCCCAUGGUAUUUUUGGUGCGUAAUUAUGUACGCGCGGCACAGAUUUCGUCGCUUGACUGGGACUAGGGCGGAGGCUGAAUUGCUAGGCGAGCUCUGAACAUGCCAGGCGAUCCUGUUGCAGGUUACUCCGGACUCGCUUGAAGGUGUCCGGGGGCUUUAUCACCGAAUUGGCGGUUUGCCUUAAAAGGCUGCUUUGUGCCUCUGCUGCGAGGGCUGUAGUGUGCUCCUCCGUGCGGAGCGAGCGUUCUAUGUUUCCAUUGACUGUUAUAACCCCACGAGGUCCUGGAAUUUUUAGCUUGAGGUAUGCAUAAUGCGGUACCGCAUUGAAUCUGGCAAAUGCGGUUCGUCCGAGCAGUGCGUGAUAGCCACUGCGGAACGGGACGAUAUCAAAGAUUAACUCCUCGCUUCGGAAGUUGUCCGGAGAUCCGAAGACCACUUCCAGUGUGAUUGAGCCCGUGCAGCGGGCCUCUACACGUGGGAUGACACCUUUAAAGGUGGUUUUAGUGUGUUUGAUCCUCGAGGGGUCUAUACCCAUUUUGCGCGCUUUAUCCUAAUAAAGCAGGUUCAGGCUGCUACCGCCAUCCAUAAGGACUCGGGUGAGGUGAAAUCCGUCAAUGAUGGGAUCAAGGACCAAUGUGGCAGAACCGCCAUGACAGAUACUAGUGGGGUGGUCCCUACGAUCGAAAGUGAUCGGACAAGAAGACCAUGGGUUGAACUUCGGGGCGACUGGCUCCAUCGCGUAGACGUCCCUUAGUGCACGCUUCCGUUCCCUCUUGGGAAUAUGGGUUGCGUAUAUCAUGUUCACCGUUUUCACUUGGGGAGGAAAUUUCUUCUGUCCUCCUGUGUUUGGCGGCCGGGACUCCUCCUCAUCGUCGCUAUGUAGCCCCUUUUCCUUGUUUUCGGUAUUGAACUUGCCGGCCUGCUUGAACACCUAGCAUUCUCUGUUGGUGUGAUUGGCUGGCUUAUCGGGGGUGCCGUAAAUUUGACACGAGCGAUCGAGUAUGCGGUCCAAACUGGACGGCCCGGGUUGCUUCUUUUGAACGGCUUCUUCUGCUGACCGGAUUUAGAGCCACUGAAAUCCGGCAUUGACUGCCGUGUCUUCGGCAUUGUCACCGUUGUUGCGGCGCUUGUGUCUGUUGCGACAUGGUCUGCCGUUACUAUCUUUGGCAUCUAAAUUGCCAUGGCUUCUUGAUGUGUUAUUGCUGCGAGCCAGCCAGCUAUCCUCGCCCGCACAAAAGCGGGUCAUGAGUGUCGUGAGGGCUGCCAUAGACUUCGGCUUCUCCUGUCCGAGGUGCCGGGCGAGCCACUCAUCACAGAUGUUAUGCUUAAAUGCCGCUAAACCCUCUGCAUCCGGACAGUCGACAAUUUGGUUUUUCUUAGUUAGGAACCGGGUCCAGAAUUUCCUGGCCGAUUCCCCUGGCUGCUGAGUUAUACGGCUCAAGUCAUCAGCAUCCGGUGGUCGCACAUAAGUGCCCUGGAAGUUGUCAAGGAAUGCAUCUUCCAAAUCCUCCCAACUACCAAUGGAGUCUGCUGGCAAGCUAUUCAGCCAAUGUCGAGCUGGUCCUUUGAGUUUUAGUGGGAGGUACUUGAUGGCAUGUAGAUCGUCACCGCGAGCCAUGUGGAUGUGGAGUAGGAAAUCCUCGAUCCAUACCGCGGGAUCUGUUGUACCAUCAUAUGAUUCAAUGUUUACGGGUUUAAAACCCUCUGGGAAUUCGUGAUCCAUUACUUCAUCAGUGAAGCAUAGGUGGUGUGCGGCGCCUCUGUGCUGGGCUAUAUCACGACGCAGUUCAUACGAGUCUUGUCUGUUGUAUUCGGCCCAACCGGAUUUGCUUUUAGUGUAUCCGGCAUGACGAUCAUCAUCACGCGUUGGGGCGUGACCCCGUGAUCCGUAGAUCGAUCUUGCAUGUUUUGCUUUGUUUUCCAAUACGUCUCGCAGGUCCCGCGUGUUGCCCCGGGCCUUGGUAUUUUUGUUUGAAUGGCGGCGGGGUGCCGGCUGGACUUCGGGCUGAUAUGCCUCUCUGUUUCGGCCACGAGGUGGCCGAUCGGCCGCAUCAUACGCUGGUGAUGUAGGUUUCAAUGCUUCGUCCUCGAGUUGGGGUAGCAACCUGCUUUGGGUAACUCUUGGUUGGGCGCUCGAGUUCGUAUUCCUCGGCCGCCAGGACUUCAGUCCAUCAAUCCGCUAGCAGAUCUUGAUCAGCUCGAAGCUUUUGUUGCUUUUUCUUCAGGCUGUUUGCUGUGGCUAUAAGCCGGCGCUUGAAGCGCUCCUGCUCGACGGGAUCCUCAGGCACGAUAAAUUCUUCGUCGCCGUGGCUCACCUCGUCUUCGGAGAGAGGCAUGUAAUUGUCAUCCUCUGAUUCUCCGUCUGCUGCUUGUUUCGGAGGGCUAGCUUGUUCAUCCUCCCGCUCGAGGUCUGGCUGGAGGGGAUUAUCAUCGUCUUCGGCACUAUCCGGAGCGUUAUUGUCUCUUGUGCCGGUAUCGCUGCUUUUGCUAUGGCGAGACUUAGAGCGGCGCCACUGACGUCGGUGAUUGGAUUGCUUCUUGGAGGGAUUAUCCUCCGUUGUCUUAUCGCCAUCCCCUUCUUUGGGGGUGUCCACCAUGUAUAUGUCAUAUGAUGAGGUGGCGGUCCAGCGCCCUGUGGGCGGUGGUUCUUGUUUGUCUCCUGUAUCGUCGUCCAUACCGUCGAUGUCUUCAGAGCCGAAGUCGAGCAUGUCGGUUAAAUCGUCGACAGUGGCUACUAGGUGGGUGGUCGGUGGGGAGCGAAUUUCUUCUUUGUCCGCAUCCCAUUCUAGCCGGACAUAGUUCGGCCAAGGGUCUCCUGACAGGGAGAUAGACCUCAACGAGUUUAGCACGUCGCCAAAGGGCGAGUGCUGAAAGAUAUCCGCGGAGGUAAACUCCAUGAUCGGUGCCCAAUCGGAUUCGAUAGGCACGGACGCAGGCGGCUCGGAGCCCAUGGCCCGGGACGAAUCCAAUGGUCCGGCAACACGGGUCUCGGAGGAGGUGAAGUCAGUAUUCGGCUCUAUCGCCGCUGAGUGUGCAGCCUCCGUGGCGGGGUCCAUCCACCCGUCCUCAGAUGGCGCAAUUUGUUCCGGAUUGAGGGCCGGAGUAGUUGCAGGUGUGAUCUCCCGAACACUAUCCGACGGCAGAGCUAAAUCAUGCUCGUCGUGAUUGUGCGGCGCACCUGACAUGGGCUCGAAUCCGUCGAAGAUCAAGUCUCCGCGGAUGUCGGGAGUAUAGUUCAAGUUUCCAAACCUGACCUGAUGGCCAGGGGCCUAGCUCUCGAUCUGGUCUAGAUGGCCAAGCGAGUUGGCCCGCAGUACGAAGCUGCCGAAUACGAAGAUCUGUCUGGGGAGGAAAACCUCACCCUGGAUCGCAUCGUUGCCGAUGAUCGAAGGAGCCAUCUAGCCUUAGGUGACGGCACAGUGGAACUCUCAAUGAAAGCACCAAUGUCGGUGUCAAAACCGGCGGAUCUCGGGUAGGGGGUCCCGAACUGUGCGUCUAAGGCGGAUGGUAACAGGAGGCGGGGGACACGAUGUUUACCCUGGUUUGGGCCCUCUCGAUGGAGGUAAUACCCUACUUCCUGCUUGAUUGAUCUUGAUGAUAUGAGUAUUACAAGAGUUGAUCUACCACGAGAUCGAGGAGGCUAAAACCCUAGAAGCUAGCCUAUGGUAUGAUUGUUGUUGUCCUACGGACUAAACCCUCCGGUUUAUAUAGACACCGGAGGGGUCUAGGGUUACACAGAGUCGGUUACAAGGGAGGAGAUCUACAUAUCCAUAUUGCCAAGCUUGCCUUCCACGCCAAGGAGAGUCCCAUCCGGACACGGGACGAGGUCUUCAAUCUUGUAUCUUCAUAGUCCAACAGUCCGGCCAAAGGAUAUAGUCCGGCUGUCCGAGGACCCCCUAAUCCAGGACUCCCUCAAGAGUCUUAAUAAUUUUGAUGAAGAUGAUUCCGGAAUUUUUCGUUAUUUACUCGAUGAAUCUUUGAAAGAUGCUUGGGAUAGACUAUUAAGGAUCCGGGCUAGCUAUGUGCCCCAAUACCAAAUUGAAGUUUACUUAAAGAGCUUUUAUGUUGCCAUCCCUUCUUCAUUUAAGCAUGUCUUAGAUUCUAUAUUUGAAAAAGGUUUUCUUGAAGGGGAUGCCGUAUAUACUUAUGAAAAGAUGAAAACCAUAUUUGGGCACCCCAUGAAUGAGAAAGUUGAAUCUACAUCUCUUUUGCUCUCCUACCAAAGCGAAUCUUUCAAAGAGAUGAAGGCUAGCUUAGAUGCAAAUUUCCGUAACAUGCUUAGUCUUUCUUCUACCAUUAAUAGCCACGUGCUUUAUCAAAAUAGAAAGAUUAAUGCCAUAGAUAAUAUGUUUGCUCUUUUCUUCCCUAAAACUAAAUAAGGCAAUACUUAGAUCUAUCCUUGUUUUUAUGCCUAGCUAAGGGCGUUAAACGAUAGCGCUUGUUGGGAGGCAACCCGAUUUUAUUUUAGUUUUUUUUUUUGCUUUUUGCUUCUGUUUAGGAAUAAAUAUUUUAUCUAGCCUCUGGUUAGAUUUGUUUUUAUGUUUUAUUAGUGUUUGUGCCAAGUGAAACCUAUAGGAUCUUCUUGGAUGAUAGUUAUUUGAUCUUGCUGAAAAUUCCAGAAACUUUCUGUUCACGAAAACAAUUGUUAAUAAUCACCAGAACGUGAUAAAAUACUGAUUCCAAUUGCAGUAGAUCAAUAAACAAAUUGUCUAGGUCUUCCUAUUUUGGUAGAAUUUUUUGAGUUACAGAAGUUUGCAUUAGUUACAGAUUACUACAGACUGUUCUCUUUUUUGACAGAUUCUGUUUUUCGUGUGUUGUUUGCUUAUUUUGAUGAAUCUAUGGCUAGUAAAAUAGUUUAUAAACCAUAGAGAAGUUGGAAUACAGUAAGUUUAACACCAAUAGAAAUAAAUAAUGAGUUCAAUACAGUACCUUGAAGUGGUGUUUUGCUUUCUUUCGCUAACGGAGCUCACGAGAUUUUCUGUUAAGUUUUGUGUUGUGAAGUUUUCAAGUUUUGGGUAAAGAUUUGAUGGAUUAUGGAACAAGGAGUGGCAAGAGCCUAAGCUUGGGGAUGCCCAUGGCACCCCAAGAUAAUCUAAGGACACCAAAAAUCCAAAGCUUGGGGAUGCCCCGGAAGGCAUCCCCUCUUUCGUCUUCGUCCAUCGGUAACUUUACUUGGAGCUAUAUUUUUAUUCACCACAUAAUAUGUGUUUUGCUUGGAGCAUCCUGUAUGAUUUGAGUCUUCGCUUUUUAGUUUACCACAAUCAUCCUUUCUGAAUACCCUUUUGAGAGAGACACACAUGAUUCGGAAUUUAUUAGAAUACUCUAUGUGCUUCACUUAUAUCUUUUGAGCUAUAUAGUUUUUACUCUAGUGCUUCACUUAUAUCUUUUAGAGCAAGGUGGUGGAUUUGUUUUAUAGAAAUUAUUGUUCUCUCAUCCUUCACUUAUAUCAUUUUGAGAGUCCUACAAAACAGCAUGGUAAUUUUCUUUAAUUGUGAAAUUAGUCCUAAUAUGCUAGGUAUUCAAGAUUAGUAGAACUUUCUUAUGAGUGUGUUGAAUACUAAGAGAAGUUUGAUGCUUGAUGAUUGUUUUGAGAUAUGGAGGUAGUGAUAUUAAAUUUGUGCUAGUUGAGUAGUUGUGAAUUUGAGAAAUACUUGUGUUGAAGUUUUCAAAUCCCGUAGCAUGCACAUAUGGUAAAUGUUAUACAAAU